rnacentral:lncRNA from 1 species
AAAUAUCCUUGAUGCAGGCAUUGUUAUGCUAUAUGAGUCUUCUGGCAUUGAAGCUUAGUAGACAAAUUUACUCAUUAUCUUAAAUUACUCUAAAGCAGAAUCACAAGGUAAUGAUAAAAAAAAAGCUUAAAUCACAAAAUGCUGGAUGCGCUUGAUUCCGAAACUAAUCUAAGCCACUUAAAUCCAUAAUCACAAACCGAAUCAAAACAACUUAAAUCAUAACAGCUCAAAUAAACCGAAUAAAAACAACUUAAAUUAAAACAGCUUAAAUAAACCGAAUCAAAACAACUUAAAUUAAAACAGCUUAAAUAAACCGAAUCAAAACAGCUUAAAUCUAAACAGCUCAAAUAAACCGAAUCAAAACAGCUUAAAUAAACCGAAUCGAAACAGCUUAAACCCAACAAUCCUAAACCAAAUCAAAACAAUUUAAACCCAAAAAAAAGCUUGAAUAAACUGAAUUGAAAACGACUUAAAUCUAAACAGCUCAACUCUACAAUCAUAAAACGAAAUAACACAACUUAAAUCUAAAACAACUUGAAUAAACAAUUCUAUUGCAACAAACAAGACAUUCGGUCGAACACGCCGAGUCGUAGAUAAACCACUUCUAGAUAAACAAUUUUGAAAUUUAUAACAGUUUCGCAGCAACACACACAUGAUUAAAUCCAAUUAAAACAUUGUAAUAGAUACGUUUGGGAAGAACUCAAAAUCGUUACCGAAACACGGAUCUUCGUUGCUGCAAGUUGCUGAUGUGUUCUCCGAUGUUGCGGAACCGUGUGAUUGUGUUAGAGGUAGUGAUGACGAACAAAGGCGUACGCCGGUGGCUGUUGUUGUUGGUUCGCCGGAUACGAGGGGUUUAGAUGGAGAAAAUGGCGGCGGAAGAAGUGAAUGAUUCGUAGCAGAAUCACAGGGUAACAGCAGAAAUCACUUGAAAUCGAACGUUCACUUAACAUUCCCACGACUCUAAAGCUCUCAAUGAUGGACUUCACACCUUCCCUGUAAACAUCCAAAAUUUCCAGAAGCAACACAUUUUCAGCAAAUCAAUUUAAACAAAAAUUAAAAAAAAGGCUACAGGAAUAGUUGAGAGGUGGGUCACGGGGUCUUCGCCGUAGUGGUGAGGUUGUGGGUUAACGGCGUGGGUUACUGAAAAGGCGGAGGUUUGACGGGUUGUUGAAGGGGUUUGACGGAAGACGAUGGGUUUGAGCGGAUGGUGAAGGUNGUCGGGCGACCGAGUUGAUUGAUUGUAGUUUCAGAGGUAGUGAUGACGCACAAAGGCCGGGUUACCAUCGCGCUGUGUGUUGUUCGCCACCGGAUCACUCGAGGGGUUGAGAUGAGAACAUGCGCGGGAAGAAUGACACGAUUCGUCAGCAACACAGUGGUAUAGCAAGCAGAAAUCCUUGAAAUCUGAACGUUGCCUCACGUUCACUUAACAUUCCCACGGCUCUAAAGCUCUCAAUGAUGGACUUCACACCUUCCCUGUAAACAUCCAAAAUUUCCAGAAGCAACACAUUUUCAGCAAAUCAAUUUAAACAAAAAUUAAAAAAAAGCUACAGGAAUAGUUGAGAGGUGGGUCACGGGGUCUUCGCCGUAGUGGUGAGGUUGUGGGUUAACGGCGUGGGUUACUGAAAAGGCGGAGGUUUGACGGGUUGUUGAAGGGGUUUGACGGAAGACGAUGGGUUUGAGCGGAUGGUGAAGGUUGCGUUCGAAUUUGUUGGUGGAAGGUGAUUCGAAGGAUGACGGCGGUGAAUGGAGGGUUUUGGUUGUUUUACCGUCAGUGGGGAGAUGGAGAGGGCUUUAAGGGCGGAUACGGUGGGACGAUGAUGAUGGCGGCGUGAAGUGGGAAGGUGGCGGCGCCGGCGAUUUAGGGUUUGUUGACGGCGAUGAGAGAGUGUGGAGACGGCAAGGGUUUCGUGGGUUGUUGAAGAGGGAGAAAGAAGCGAGGGUUUUGAAAGGUAACGUUGAAAUCUCAGAGUGAAUAGUCAGUGAAGGAGAGUGUGAGAGGUAUUGUGAGAGAGGGAGUGAAUGUGAGCUGUGAGAAUUCUCCGAGAGAGGGGUGAAUAGUGAAUGGUUUUUGUAGGUGAGAGCAGAGAGAGAAUCUGAGAGAGAGAGGGUUUUUACAGCGUGUUUUAGAGAGAAUUUUUUUUGUCUUUUUCCUUUCUUUCGUACAGUAGAGGGAGGGGUAGUGGAAGUUUGUUACUGAGUGGGGGAAUUAGUGGAAUGUGAGUGGAGGAGAAUGAGAGACGUUGGAGUAUUUUGAAUUUUUUGUUUUUUUAUGGAUUGGGGAAUCCAAUGCAAUAUUUAUAUUUAUAAUUAUCCUAAAAAAUCUAUCUAAUAUAUAAAAAAGAAAAUUAACUAAUAUUUAUAAACAAAAAUUAACUAAUAUUUUUAGAAAAAUCUAACUAACAUAUAAAAAUUAAUUAAAAUAGUACAAUAAAAUAAAAACUAACUAAAAACUAAUUAAUAUUUAAAAAAAAAACUAACUAACUUAAUUAAGUAACUAAAAAAAACAACUAACAUUUAAUUAAAAUAGCUAAUAUUUAAAACUAACUAAAAUCUAAAUAUUCGACCAGUUAAAAAAUAGAAAUUGAGUACAAAUUUAAUUCGAAAAAAAAAUAAACCAGUCACAUUUAAAAUUGUCAGCACAAAACCUACUUAUUAAAAAUACAGGCUUUUCUCAAAUUUUAACGAUUCAACUGAUUUUUUCUGUAUUCUCAAAUAAAUCCGUUUUGACUGACAUUUCAGGCAUUUAUUCAUGAUGCAAAUGUGUGUCAUGUUAUGCGUAUGAUGCAAAAAUAAAAUGAAAUAAAUUUUAUUAAAUAUGCCCGGACAAAAUUGGGGUACGACAGCUGCCCCUAUUUAAUUAUCUUGAACUANCAGCUGGCGACUCUGCUGGGGACUUACAAGAUGUUGACCUGUGCUGGUCCAUCUUCCCUAAGCGAGUCUCUCCUAGCGUUCUAGGAUAGUUUAGGUUGCUUGUGCCGCUUUAUUUAUUGCAUUUAUUGAUCUGAUUGUGUAUAUAUUUGCAUAAAUAUUUGCAUGCAUCAUAUUAUCAUGUUGCCGUCCUCUGUGCAGGUGGUUCCUCUGUUUUUGGGGUGGGUGUUCUGAGUGGGGCUAAAACCCAGGCCCGAGUACACACCUAGGAUUAGUGUGGUCUCACGUCCCUCACAUGCUGGUUGGGCAUGUUGUUGCGACGUGACAUACCACAAGCCGGACGAGGUUCAUCUGAGAGUGCUCUUCCUCAGUGGGGUUUUCCACUUUGGUUGGGUUACCUCUUUUGAACUAUUGACUCUAGUGACCGAUCAUUUCCCGGAUCUUUGGUUUAGACGAUCUCAGGAGAGCUACAAUGGCACACCCGAAAGGGCAAACCCAUUGAGUAUCUCUGCCCGAUUGUCGAGACUAUUAUCCGCCUUAGGAUGACCUGAUUAGAAUUUACCUGUGAGGGGAGGGUGUUUCUUACAGAUGCAUGUUCAGAUGGUGACUUUGAUGGUGACUAUUGGUUCUGUUGAUCAGAGUCCUAUUUAUAAGUCGGAUUUAUGGGCAUUUCUUGCCGAGACGCCGGAGUGUUGUCCGAGUUAUUUAUCAGCGGGGAUCCGUUUAUUUCAGGAUUCCCCCGGCCGAUUCAGAGGAUUGUGGUUAUCUGCUCAGAGAUUGUCUGGUAAUGAUGAUGGUGUAUCUUUCAGUUCCGUUUAUUUCGGAACCCUUAAGUUGGAUUUAUGGUUACAUAUUCCUUCAGAUGGUUGUGAUCAGUUCAGAAAUCAGGGUUUCAGUGCAACAGAUGAUCAGAUGACUUGGAGGAUGGCAAUGCAUUGCAUUCAUUCAUAAGCAUCAUUACAUCUUGCAUUUACCUGCAUCUAACUCAUGUUUAUCCAUAUGCAGGGACAUUUUUGAUCGAGAUCCUGGUUGAGAGACUUUCUGCUCAGACAUGAGGAGGCCCGGUUUGAAGGACGAUGUUGUCUACAGUUUCUUUGACCCAGAGAUCAGUGUGCUGAAGGAUAUGAUAUCUUUGAUUGCACCCGACCAUGUGGGGAUGUUUCGAGAGGCAUACGGUGGUAUUCUGAAGAUGGUUUUCAGACUUACUGAUAGAGACAGGAGCGCCAUUCAUACUCUCCUCCAGUUCUAUGAUCCUGGUUUGAGGUGUUUUGUUUUCCCAGAUUACUUAUUCGGGCCUCUGAUGGAGGAUUAUGCUGAUAUUUUAGGCAUUCAGAUCAGAAAUCAGGUUCCUUUCUAUGCUACUAAGGAAGAGCCUGAUAUUGGAGGGAUUUCCCGUGCUCUUUAUUUGAGUCCGGAGAUGGUUAAGGGGAGUCUGAAAGAGAAGGGGAAGUUGCCUGGUUUUCAUCUGAGUUUCCUAGAGGCUAAGGCUAAGGAGCAGACGGAGUUGGGUAACUGGAAAGCUGUCUGUGCUUUGAUUGCUGCGGGUAUUUAUGGGAUCAUUCUGUUUCCUAAUCAGAAGAGCUUCGUAGAUAUUAAUGCCAUUCGCUUGCUUGUUCAGAGGAAUCCUAUCCCUACCUUGAUCGGAGAUGUCUAUUACUCGGUCCAUAAUAGGAACGAGAAGCGGCGUGGGGGAUUGAUUCGAUGUUGCGCUCAGUUGCUAUACAAGUGGUUUAUGGGAUAUUUGCCUACCCGGGGUGCUUUUGUUCUUCUUGGCCAAAAUGUCAAUUGGGCGACCAAGCUGAUGGGUUUGAGGGCCAAAGACAUAGCUUGGACUCACAGUAGUGGGGUUGGACAAGACUUCAUUUGCAGUUGUGGGGGUUUUCCCAAUGUGCCGCUUAUAGGAGUUCAGGGUUGCAUUAAUUAUAACCCGACACUUCUUAAGAGACAAAUGGGAUUCGCUAUGGAGCUUCCUCCUUUCAAGAGUGAGAUUCAGGAAACUUUGUACUUCCCGGUUGAGGGCAAUCAGGCCAAGUUGAGGCAAGUAUCUGAUGCAUGGCGCAGCAUUCAAAGGAAAGGCAAGUUUUCUUGGGGUAGAGCCAAUAACAGGUCUUUUCCUCCGUUCGAUGACUGGCUCAGUAAGAGAGUGGAGCUUACUUGUCUACCGUUUCCUAUGGUUGAUCCUUGGUAUCCGUUGAUGGAGGAAUCUCCUUCUUCUGUUAGUAUGGAAGAGUUCCUAGAGAUGAAGCGGGAGAUAGAUCAGUUGCUUGCGGAGAAAACGGAAUUGGAGAUGAGUGUCGCUCGGGUGCAGAUGGCUAAUCAGGAGAUCAGAGUGAGGAUGGAAGAUCAGGACAAGCGACAUGCCCUGGAAGCAAAGCGCUUUGAGAUGGAUACUGCCUACUAUGGGAAGGUCAAUUAGGCUUUGGCAUCUUCAACAAAGGAGCACGACAUCACCAAAGAGAGAUUGGCUAGGGCUUCAAAGGUCAUUGAAGAACAGAAGAGGAGGCAAAUUCUCGUGAGGGAUCAGAGGGAUGACAGAGUCAGAGUCCUCAUUGCUGAGUGGGAGGCAAAGCUGAAGAUCAAGGAAACAGAGAAUGUGAAGAUCAUCGCUGAGAGAGAUCAUUGUAUCGCCGAGAGGGAUCAUUACAUUGCUGAGAGAGAUCAUUACUUCAGGCAGAUGAAGAUUCACCAGAANNNNNNCCCUACUUGGUUUCGGGGUCCCCGUUGGAUAUGCGCUGGCCCUAUGGCAACUACUGUCUACUGUUCCUUUGUAUGGUGAUCCUUGUGUAUUCCGUUGAAUGGUAAGUGAGGAAUCUCCUUCUUUCUGUUAGUAUGGACAGAUCAGUCUGUCCUUUCCUAGAGAUGAAUCCGGUAGGCGGAGCAGCGAGAUAGGAGAAUGAGAUGUGGAUAGAUCAGUUGUCUCUCGCCUUUGCGGAGAGACAAACGGAAUUGGAGAUAGAUGAGUGUCGCUCGCGGCCCUAUUCUCUUUGUUACCCCUUUUUGCCUGGGCUUUGCAGCAUGAUGGCUAUCUAAUCAGGAGAUCAGACUAGUGAUGGGUGAGGCUUCUGAGUGAGGAUGGAAGUACAAUCAGGACAAGCGACAUGCCUGGUAACAAUAGGCUUGAGAUGGAUACUGUUCCCUACUAUGGGGCAAGGGUAAUUAGGUUUGUAUCUUCAACAAAGUGAGCACGACCAGACCAUCACCAAGAAGAUUGCUAGGGCUUUCAAAUGUCAUUUGCAAGACAGAAGAGAGGAAUUCUCCGUGAUCGGGAUCAGCAAGGAUGACAGAUCAGAGUCUCAUUGCUUGAGUGGGAGGCAAAGCUGAAGAUAAGGAAACUCAGGAAGAAUGUGGGUAAGUAUCCGCUGAGAGAGAUCUUGUAUCGGCGAGAGGGUAUCAUUACAUUGCUGACGAGAGAUCAUAUACUUCAGGCAGAUGACGAUUCACCAGAGGAGGUGGGGAGAUCCCCACCUGUGUUAUUCUUCAGUGUUGUGUUGUGUGAUGUUUGUUUUAGCAACCUUUUCUUUUUUUAGGCGUGGAAUCCGUCAAGGUACGACGGCGUGAAGGGGUGAAUACCUUACCCUUGCUAACCGACUCCCGAUCCCAUUCUCUUUGGUCGCGAGACCAUGCUUUUCCCAGGUUUACUUCGAGCGUUUCCUUUCCCUCUUUGGGAUAAAUAACGCACGGUGGCGGCUCUGUGUUGUGUUUUGUUUCAGCCCGCCGAUUGUUUUUCGCGGAUGCGACAUCAGCCUAGCAAUCUCUUCCUUCAAGUCCCUGUUUUCUUGCUCUAGAUGCUCCAUUAUCUUUGGAUGAUUGGCCCUGGUAUUGUACCGGUGCGUCAGCUUGUCUUUAAAAUAAAUGAAGAGCAAAGAGUUAGACCACUGAUCAAGAGCUCAGAACAAAACCUGAUUAUGCAUAUGAUGCAUGCAAUGUUUGUGCAUAUGGUUUGUUUUUAAUCAAAGGAACCUUUAUAGAUCUAUUUGCAAAUAUUUGAAAAUAUUUAACUUUUUAGACAUAUAUGGAAUACUCGUAAAAUAAUAUUUGGAAACUCUUUACACCAAAGAAGGAGUACAGUUUUGGUAACCAAAUACAAUACAAGAGAAAAGGAGAAUGAACAUCAUAUGGAGCCCUAGAAACAAUCGUCCAAAGCCUUCGAGAUCGGAAGAUAGGUUGCACGAAGCCUCUUCACCUCUCUCUCAUAAGUUGCUUCCAUAUCGGCCUUCUCCUUGGUAAGCUGACCAUACUUCCUCUUCCAGAACCUAGAUGAAUGAGGAAGAAGAGAAGUAACCACAUCAUCAGGCUCAUCGAUAACCUGAUGCUCUAGAAAUUCUAUCACUGCAUCCUUAUCUUUGAGCUGCUGAAGAAGUUCCUCUCGCUCACGAAUCCAAGCACGCGACCGAUCUUCAUCUCUCAACUCCUCUACUCCUUGAUUAGGGAGGGUUGAAGGCCCAACCAUAACCAUAGGGGUAGGUCUCGGAUAAUCGUACGGCAUGCGGUACUCAAGAGCUCUCUUCCUCACCCAAGAGGUGUAGGGUUCCAAAGCAAUACAAUUCUUCAGACCAAGCUCAUUCCUUCCCUUCCUAUGAACUUUGCGCCAAGCGCGAACCAUUCUAUCCUUCAAGUUCUGGGGAUCUUUACCCUCUUGAAAGAACACACCUUCCAACAAAACGUUGUUAGGUUUAUCCUUUAAGGGGAACCCAAGCUGACGGCGAGCCAAAACAGAGUUGUAGUUAAUUCCACCACAUGUACCAAGAAGAGGCACAUUGGAGAACUCACCACAAGAGUCAAUAAUCUGAACGCCAUCAUAAACACGGUUAUACCAAGAGAUAUCAUCAUUAGUGAGAGACAUAAGUCUCGUAGACCACCGUAGACAUCUCUUGUUCUCUUUGAAGGCAAGCAUCUGAGGCAAGUGCGAAAUAAACCACUUGUACAACAGAGGCAGACAACACACAAUGGAACCACCACCCUUUGCAUUCCUCAUAUGCAAAGAGAAAUAAGUGUCACCCGACAGAGUCGGAACGGGAUUAAGAGAAGAGAAAAUCCUAAUAGCGUUCACAUCCACAAAAUUGUCGAUGUUGGGAAAUAACACUAGCCCAUAGAUGAGGUGUACAAAUAUGGCUUCAAAAGCGUCCUCACUCAUGGCCUUCCCAAACAAAGUAGCUUUGGCAAUGAGAAAAUCAGACGAGAGACCUUGAAUUCCCCCUAAGGUAGUCAUAUUGGCAAUAAUGUCAGACACAUCCACAUGAAGCAUAUCAGCAAUCUCUUGAGAAGACGGAACCUUCUCUAAGCCACUGAACGGAAACUGAUCAAGAAUAGGUAUACCCACAUGAUAGGCAUACUCCUCAAGUGUAGGCAAAAGCUGGAAAUCCGAAAAAGUGAAGCACCGAUACAAAGGAUCGUAGAACUGCACCAACACACUCAUCAGACCUUCAUCCAACUUGGUAGAAAGAAUAGACAUAAGCUUCCCAUGGCGAGCUUUGAACUCCAAGGGCUCUAGUACAUAAGAUGCCAAACUCCUUAACUCUUUCAAGUCAGGUUGUCUGAAACUGUACUUCUUCGUAUUCCUUCUUUGCUUAUCCAUGUCUGAAAAUUUGCAAAUAGACCUCUUAAGUUCCUUGAAAACUUUUAUUGUUGAUGAUAUGGAUGCAUAUGAAUGCAUGAAUGCAUGGAUGCAACAAUCAUACUCAAGGAUCAAGCAAGUCACACCACACAAAGGUCACGGGAUGGCUCAAGUCAUUGUAAAUAUUAAUCAUCCAUUUUGGUGAAUUAUGGUUUACACCUUAUCAACACCCAAGUUCCAUUGAUAUUGAGAAUGUACGAGAACAGAUCAACCGCGAAUCAAGGGUUUGUUGUAAGUCACGAGCAUGGAGUCUCGGUUAAGAACCACCCAAUAGUCAUCAUCUCAUCUUUCGGAUAUUAUCAGAUAAAACGACUACUCGUCUUCCAAAAAUAUUCUCAGGAGAGACUCUUAUGAGUGUAGUAUCGCAUAACAAUCGUAUUAAAUCUUACACUUGAACGACUUUCGCACUACAUCCUAAAAUAGCCCAAGAUGGGUUAGGUAUCUAAGGUCCUUGGCUUCUAAGGUUUAUAUUGGAAAGAGUAAUGCCUAACCACGACUACUCGCGUGACAUUAUUGAUCCCAACAAGACCUCCACCAAGUGAAUGGGCUUACAAGUCAACUUGCUAAGGAAUAACUCCACACAAGUCAACAAGACUAUGCCAUUCUCCUAUCAUAAGUGCACUCGAGUUCAGGUAUAGAACUCAUCUCACAAGAAACCACCAAGCACACAAGCAAUUGGUAUAUCAAGAAAUUCAUACAUUACAAGCAAUACAGUCAUCCCAAAUUUGCACAGAAAUAUGUCACCAAUAUAAACAUACAACACACAUAAGCAAAAAGUAGGAUAAACCCACUAGAGAAACAACUACUUCCCCAGCAGAGUCGCCACUUUUCUGUAGCGGAGUUUUCGUUACCUUUAGGCUUAUUGACUAAACCAAAAGUAAACAUACAAUUCGAGUCGCCACCGCACUUUUAUUUGUCCAAAGGAAAGGCUAAAAAGCGAACAAAAGCCAAGUAAGAAGUUUUAUCAAAUCAAAAAACCGCACUUUUAUUUGUCCAAAGGAAAGGCUAAAAAGCGAACAAAAGCCAAGUAAGAAGUUUUAUCAAAUCAAAAACUAAUAAAAAUGUCAGAGAUCUAGGUAAGGGGGUUGGUUAUGAAAUAGGAAUGUUUUAUGCACCCAAAACAUCCUUAGUACUCUAAGGGAACCUCUUUUUGCAAACAUGUGUUAUAGGUUGGUAUUUGUGAAAAUACGUGCAAAAGAUUGGAGGGAUGAGAGAAGAAUGUAUUAUAUUUACAAUUUUGUUGUUUGAAUGGAUGAACCCAUUGCCUACGUACCAUCAUAAAGGUAGGAUCAAAACCUCGUAGUUCGGGGUAAAAAUCUCAAAAAUUGUUGAAUUGAUUUGAUCAAAAGCCUUAAGGUCUUUUAUUAUCAAAGGGAGAAAACUCAACCUAAACCAACAAUCCACCAUGUGAGGAGGGCUUCAACAUACUAGUGAGGGGUUAACCCUAUAAUAAGUAUGGAAGACUUAUAAUCCAAUCACUAAUGAUGAGGUGAGAUUUACAUCAACCAUUAUGAUAACUCAAACCUAUGACUAAUGUUUUUGAAAAGGUUUAACAAAGGUGGCCAUUGGAACCACAAAAAACAACUUGAAGUGAGUUAUACUUACAAGUUAGAUUUAUUUACAAAAUGAAGUCAAAGUUGAAUUAAGAUUUAUUCAUAAUAAGUAUUAAUGAAAAGAGUUUGAAAAAUCAAAGGCAUAAGGCCUAGGUUUCUAAUUUGAAACAAAUGUCAAAGUUUGAAGAAAUGAUUUUGGCUUAGGUUAGAGUGGGGAGAAGAAGAGAAGAGCUAGUCCUAAAGCAUACAAAGAUAAAAGAGAAAAGAUAAAACCCUUGGAGUUCCUCUUCUUGAAAUCAUAGAGAUGAUUCAAGAUGCUCCUUUCCUUUGGACUUAGCACACACAAGUAAUAACUCAAUUUAGAUUCAAGCUCCUAGGAUCUCCAUUUGGCUUGUCUCUCUUAACUUGACUACUCAUGACAAUGGUCCUCCUUACUAUCUCAAGAUGGAAUCCCUAUCACACAAGAGCAAACAUCAAAAAGUUCAUAACACAAUAAGAGGAAUAGACAAAGAUAGAGUUUUGGAAAGGAAGUCCUUUAAAGUCAACUUUGAGAUUAAGCAUUCUAAAGGCAUGAGGCCUAGUUGCUCUUCAACAAGUUUAGCAUUCUAAAGGCAUGAGGCCUAGUUGCUCUUGAACUCCUUUAAGCAUAGGUAAGUCCUAAUUCUAAGUCCUUUCUCAUUUUUGCAUUGGGUUCACACAAAACAAAGGCAAAACAACCACAAGACAACAAUAUAUAUAUAUAUAUAUAUAUAUAUAUAUAUAUANGAUCAAAGAAGGUUAAACCUCUCAUUUGUCAAGACUAACCAUAAGACAUUAACUCAUUGGCCAAAAUAAAAAGAAAUGGGAUGAAGAUGAAAUGAAUGAAAAGAGAAUUCAAGUAUCAAGUUCAAUUCGUCAAAAGUGAACCAAGUCAUCAUCAACCAAUGCUAAACAGAAGAAAAAUGAAGAUUACAAGUCAACAAGUCAAUCAUAUUUUUUUGUAUUUUUUGAAUUAAAAAUAAAUGCAAAAUAAAAUAAACAAAAUAUGGUCAAACCUUAAAUUUAAUUCAAAUCCACUUCAACAAGUCUAAUUAAAUUCUCAUAGAUCUAACAUGGUCAAACAAGCUUUGACAAAUUUUCUCAAUAAUUUUUGAAAUCAGAAACUAUUUAAAAACAAUUAAAAACAAUGAAAAAUAACAUAAUAUGAAUUAAAAUCUCAAAUAAAUCUCAAAUCAAAUAAGAAAUUGAUGAGACUAUUUUUCAUUGACUUAUCAUCAUCCAUAGGUGUUAGGAAAAUAUUUUUGGAUUUUUCAAAUAUCAAAAAGUAUUUUAAAAUGAAUUAAUACUAUUAAAAACCAAAUCAUUCACAAAAAAAUAUUAAAUGAAGUCACAAAAAUAAUUAAAAAUCAAAAUAUGAAACUAGAUUUUUCAAGAAUUUUUUUGGCAUUGGUCUCAUAUUUUUGUAACUUCAAAUAAAAUAUUUAUGAAUUUUUGAAAAUAAAAGGAAUUAACUGAAAUUAAAAGAAAAUAAGAAAAACAGGAAAAUCCAACGCCAUCAGAUCAUCUCAUUAAUUGACGUGGCAAUGAUCAGAUGGCUCUAAGACGCGGAUAUAUGAUAGACCUAAGUCAAGCGCGCUACACCUUGAAUUUAAAUGAGUCAACAUAAAGAAAGGCUAAGAUUAAAACAUUUCAGCAUGAUCCAAAGGCUGGGAGGCUACCACGUGAGGAUGGUGGUGGAAACCACCAUCUUCUCCAGCGAUCCAACAAGAUCUGGCCACCACGCGCAGGAAAUUAAAUGGCAAUGAAAAUGAAAAAUGAAGGCAUCAAAAUGAAGUUGAGGUGAUGUACAUCACCCCUAUAACCAUGGAUCAUCCUCAUAGUUCCUAUUUAGAGAGAAACAUGAGCUUGGAGAUCAUGGUGCAUGAACUGAAAUGGCACGAUUUGCAAAAUUAAGACCACCACUGGUCUGCCUCAUGCAUGAGGACUUCAGAAAACCACACAAACCAAAAAGAUUCACAUUAUAUUGCAAGAUCUAGAUCAAGAAAGUUUGAUGUUCUCCAAGCUCUUGAUCUACUUUUGCUCUGGAAAUGUGAUGGUGAUGCUAGGUUAAGGAAUUGAGCUUUGAAGAUCAACUAAUGAUGUUGAAAUUCAAGCUUGAAAGAGAAAUAGAAAACAGAAAAUUCCUUUGGUGAGGGUUUGUAUUUCAAUUCAGCAGCAAUUCAGAUCUCCACUUGGUUGCCACUUGAAUGAGAAUGCACUCUUAUUUAUAGCUGAAAUGUGAUGAGAAACAUGGUUCCCUCGUGUGCAUGAAAUUUGAAUCCUUCUUGCAUGGGCCUAUACAGGCACAUGUAAGGCCCAAUGAUGGGUGUAAAUCCUUGUUGAUGCCAUCUGAAAGUGAACUGGACGUGCAAUUGGAGUGGCAUUAGCUUGCACAUGAAGUUUUAAUGUGAAAUGCAAAAAUGAACCUAAAUAGAAAGCUCUUCAAAACUCCCACAUGGAAAGUCCAACAAAUUAUUGUGAGUAAUGGUUGGAAAGAUCUUGAAAUAAGGAACAAAAGUUAUGUUGGGAAAAAAUUCAUUUGGAGUUUGGGACUUAAUGAAAACUGGUUGUGAAGGUUUGGGUACAAAAUAUGUCUAAGUCUCCUUUGAAAAUUUUCACCAAAAGCAAGCAUCUUCAAGCCCUUCUGUUUCAAUGAUGCAAGCUUCAAAUGGAAAAACCUCCAACAUCAAAGUUAUAGAUAUUUUUAAUACGAUCAAUUUAGACUUAAAUGUUUUAUCAUUUUGAUUUUUCAUGAGAAAGUUAUAGGCACUUGAAGUUGGGCAUUUUUCAAAUCCAAUGACUUUGGUCCAAAGUGACCUAUAAUGUUUUGUAUUAUCACAUGUAUUUAUUUUAGGAUUAUGAAAUUUUGUCCAAUAUAAAAUUUGAAAUAUACCUCUUAAGACUUCCAAUGCAUUUCGUCUCACCUCAAAAUCAUAAAAAUUAAGGAAGUUAGGUCCUUGGGAAGUUGACCCAAAUUAGGGUUUCAGUCAAAAUGACCUAUAAUGUUUUGAAAUGAAUGAUGACCUUCCAAGUUUCAAAUUUAUUUUUGAUGAAAAUGAAAGUUGUUCAUAUGGUUCUUAAGAACAUUUUUCUCUUGGGUUAUCUUCGUUUGACAAACACAUCAAAAGUUGUAGCUCAGUGAUCUUCAGUUUAGUCAGAUGACUUGACUGGUCAACUUCUCAAGGCCAAACUUCAAACCUUGACGAAUGAAUGAUUGAGGAUCCUCAAAUAGGCACAUAUAUGCAUAAAAUAAUGAAUGAAAGAACUUCCCUUGAUUAAAUUUGAUCAUAGGUUGAGGUUGCUUCAUGAGCAAGGCACAGUCAAAGCACAGCUGAAUUAGGGUUUCCUUGGGAAACAAUCCUCAAGCCCUUUGGGUUAUCUUGAUAAAAUUGGAAAAUUGAGAUACUUGGGAGACAUAUAUGAUGAUUAGGAGCUUUUUGGACCAUUGUCAUGCUUGUUCUCAUCUUCAUCUAGCCACUUCAUUGAGCUUAGGAGCCUCCUAUGAGCAUGGGAGCACAUGAUCACUUGAGCUUCAAAACAAAAAGAGUUAGUGACAUAUUUUUAUGCUUUUGGUUAGUAAUCAAAAUAAGAAAGGCAAUAAUAUACAAUACAAGCAUGCUUGGUGGUCUCAAAACACUCACACAAGUCCCACCAUAGGGUUAAGGAGCCAAACAUGUUAUGAUCCUUGAGGCAAUGCAAUGAGCAAUGAUAUGAUGCCAUGAGGGAUCUUAGGGUCAAAAUUAGGGUCUUACACACAUCAGUUUACCAAAUGCACCAAGUUUCACCUAGUUAUUCUUUUACUAUGGCAGUAAAAAGUGAAAUUACACAACAGUCCAAAAAAAUAGGCAAGCAAGGUACAAGGGCACAAUUACUUUUUAUAGCCAAACACAUAUUUUGGCAAGCAUUGUUCAACAAUAAUACAAGUCCACGCACAAUUCCCCUUGCCUGAUCAUAACCCAGCAAUAAACCUUAAUUGUUCCUCUAUUUAAGCAUGGACUCAGAACCAAGCAGAGGGUUUUUUUGGAGCAUCAUAUUUUUGAGAGAAAAAUAGAAAACAUAGUUCUAAAAAUAGAUAGAGUAUAUAACAAACUUGAGUAUCAUUUUUUUCAUGUCAUGUUCUCUGGCGAAGGUAGACCCCGAACCAUCACUUACUUACAUUUUAGUUGCUUGCUUGUAAAGUUCGCCUAUGGGAGUGUUUCCCCUAAUGUUUUAGAGGCUUUCAAUCCAAACCUACCAUUUAAUUUCAUUUUUUCUAUUUUAGGGUUCAUACGAUUUUCUUUCGUUUCGGUCUAUUGAUUAGUUUUUGUUUAGAAUAAGUUUGGGGUUUGGAUUCAACGUGAUGAUAGGGUGAGUUUGGUAUUUUUCUUUUGGUGAUUUGAGCUUCGUCGCCGCAUGCAAUGAGCUUCGGCGCGGUGGAGAGGGAAACUUUGAAUUUGAAGAAUGAGGGAGUUGAUUCCCCCUUUCCCUGAGUGUUUAGUGGGCUUAGUUCCACUGGGCCUGUUUCCCACACUCCCUUUUUCGUUUCCUUCACCCCCAACCCAUUUAUCUCAUUUCCUUUUAUUUCUCUUUUUGAGUAUUUUCUUUUUAUAUAUAUUAUUGGGUGCAUUUAUAACUGUAAGACCCUAAUUUUGAUCCUAAGAUCCCUCAUGGCAUCAUAUCAUUGCUCAUUGCAUUGCCUUAAGGAUCAUAGCAUGUAUGACUCCUUAACCCUAGGGUUGGGACUUGUGUGAGUGGUUUGAGACCACCAAGCAUGCUUGUAUUAUAUAUUAUUUCUUUUCCUACUAACCAAAAGCACAAAAGUAUGUCACCAACUCUGUUUGUUUUGAAGCUCAAGUGAUCAUGUGCUCCCAUGCUCCUAGGAGGCUCCUAAGCUCAAUGAAGUGGCUAGAUGAAGAUGAGGGCAAGCAUGAAAAUGGUCCACAAAGCUCAUAAUCAUCAUAUAUGUCUCCCAAGUAUCCAAAUUUUCCAAUUUGAUCAAGAUAACCCAAAGGGCUUGAGAAUUGUUUCCCAAGGAAACCCUAACUCAACUGUGCUUUGAUUAUGUCUUGCUCAUGAAUCAACCUCAACCCAUGGUCAAAUUAAAUCAAGUUAAGUUCUUUAAUUCAUUAUUUUAUGCAUAUAUGAGCCUAUCUGAGGAUCCUCAAUCAUUCAUUCAUCAAGAUUUGAAGUUUGGCCUUGAGAAGUUGACCAGUCAAGUCAUCUGACUAAACUGAGGAUCACUAAGACAUAACUUUUGAUUUGUUUGUCAAAUGAAUAUGACACCAAGAGAAAAAAUGUUAUUACUAACAAUAUUAACAACUUUCAUGUUCAUCAAAAAUCCAUUUGAAACUUGGAAGGUCAUCAUUCAUUUCAAAACAUUAUAGGUCAUUUUGACUGAAACCCUAAUUUUGGGUCAACUUCCCAAGGACCUAACUUCCUUAAAUUUCAAAACAUUAUAGGUCAUUUUGACUGAAACCCUAAUUUUGGGUCAACUUCCCAAGGACCUAACUUCCUUAAUUUUUAUGAUUUUGAGGUGAUACCAAAUUCAUUGGAAAGAUUAAGAUGUCUAAUUAAAAUUUUAUGUUGGACAAAAUUUCAUAAUCCUAAAAUAAAUACAUGUGAUAAUACAAAACAUUAUAGGUCACUUUGGACCUAAGCCAUUGAAUUUGAAAAAUGUCCAACUUCAAGUGCCCAUAACUUUCUCAUGAAAAAUCCAAAUGAUGCAAAAUGUAAGUCUAAAUUGAUCAUCUUGAAAAUAUCUGAAACUUUUAUGUUGGAGGUUUUUCCGUUUGAGGCUUUCAUCAUUGAGACAGAAGGGCCUGAAAAUGCUUGAUUUUGGUAAAAAAAAUCAAAAGGAACCUAGACAUGUUUUGUACCCCAAACUUCACAGCCAAUUUUCAUAAAUUUCCAGACUCCAAAUGAAUUUUUUCCCAACACGACUUUUUUUCUUCAAUUCAAGGGCUUUCCAACCCUUACUCACAUUAAUUUUUUGGACUUUCCAUGAGUGAGUUUCGAAGAGCUUAAUGUUUAUGUGCAUUUUUGCAUUUCACUUUGUAACUUCAUGUGCAAGCAAAUGCAGCUCCAAUUACACGUCCAAUUCACUUACUUUUGAUCUCAGCGUGGAUUUCCCUUCACUUUUAGGCCUCACAUGCGCCUGUACAGGCCCAUGCAUGGAGGAUCCAAAAUUCACGCACACGAGGGAAGGCAUUGCUUUGCAUCCAUUCCAGCUAUAAAUAGAAGCUCAUACACCUGUACAGGCCCAUGCAUGGAGGAUCCAAAAUUCACGCACACGAGGGAAGGCAUUGCUUUGCAUCCAUUCCAGCUAUAAAUAGAAGCUCAUACUCAUUCAAAUGAUAACCACAAGGAGAUCUGAAACGCUGUUGGAUUAAAAACCAAACCCUCACCAAAGGAAUUUCAGUUUUUUCUAUUUCAUUUUCAAGCUUGAAUUUCAACAUCAUUAGUUGAAUUUCAAAGCAUAAUUCCUUAACCUUGCAUCACCAUCACACUUCCAGAUCAAAAUUGGAUCAAGAGCUUGGAUAAUUCGUGCUGUUUGAAGCUCCAUUUCAGAGGUAUAUCACCAAACUUUUUUGAUUCAGAUCUUGAAAUAUAAUGUGAAUUUCUUUGGUUUGUGUUUUUUCUGAAGUCCUCAAGCAUGAGGCCGGCCAGUGGUGGUUUUAAUUUUGCAAAUCGUGUCAUUUCAGAUCAAGCACCAUGAUCUUCAAGCUCAUGUUCCUCUUUAAAUAGGAACUUUGAGAAUGAUCCAUGGUUACAGGGGUGAUGUACAUCACCUCAGCUUCAUUUUGAUACCUUCCUUUUUCAUUUUUAUUAAGGAUUGAUUUCCUGUGCGUGGUGGCCGGAAUUGGUUGUCUGGGCGGAGAAGAUGGUGGUUUCCACCACCAUCCCCACGUGGGAGCUCCAGAGCCCUUGGAUCUUGAUAAAACGUCUUAAUUGUGGCCUUGUAUUAUGUUGACUUGUUUUAAAUACAUGUGUAACGCGCUUGACCAAGGAGUAUCAUGUGACCGCGCCUCUGAGCCUUAGGAUCAUUGUCACGUCAAUUAAUGAAAUGAUCCAGUGGCUGCGCAUUUUUGUUAUUUUCUGAUUUUUGUUUUAAUUUCAUUUAAUUCCUUUUAUUUUCAAAAAUUCAUAAAUAAUUUAUUUGAAGUCACAAAAAAAUGAGACCAAUGCCAAAACUUUUCUUGAAAAAUUUAGUUUCAUAUUUUGAUUUUUAAUUAAUUUUGUGACUUGAUUUAAUAUUUUUUGUGAAUUAUUUGGUUUUUAAUAGUUUUUAAUUCAUUUUAAUUACUUUUUUAUAUUUGAAAAAUCCAAAAAUAUUUUCUUAACACAUAUGGAUCAUGAUAAGUUAAUGAAAAACAGUCUCAUCAAUUUCUUAAUUGAUUUGAGAUUUAUUUGAGAUUUGAAAUCAUUUGUGUUAUUUUUCAUUGUUUUUAAUUGUUUUAAAAUAGUUUCUGAUUUCAAAAAUUAUUGAAAAAAUUUGUCAAAGCUUGUUUGACCAUGUUAGACCUGUGAGAAUUUAGUUGGACUUGUUCAAGUUGAUUUGAAUUAAAUUUGAGGUUUGACCAUAUUUUGUCCAUUUUAUUUUUGCAUUUAUUUUUAAUUCAAAAAUUCCAAAAAAAUAUGUUUGACUUGUUGACUUGUGAUCUUCAUUUCUCUUCUGUUUAGCAUUGGUUGAUGAUGAUUUGAUUCACUUUUGACCAAUUGUGUUUGAUAUUUGAUUUCUCUUUUCAUUCAUUUCAUCUUCAUCUCUUUCUUUUUUUAUUUUGGCCAAUGAGUUAAUGUCUUAUGGUUGGUCUUGACAAAUGAGAGGUUUAACCUUCUUUGAUCCAAAUCAAACUCAAAUUUGAUCCAAGAUCAAGUGAGUUGCUUUGUGUCCACGAUAGGUUGCUUCUUGGUCAAGCUCAGAAAGCUAUUAAAGGUAGUAUCUUGGCUGACCACUUGGCACAUCAACCAAUUGAAGAUUAUCAGUCUAUUCAGUAUAACUUCCCUGAUAAUGAGAUUAUGUAUUUGAAGAUGAAAGAUUGUGAUGAGCCUACACUUGAUGAAGGGACAAAGCCUGGUUCCCGAUGGGGCAUGGUGUUCGAUGGUGUUGUUAAUCAAUAUGGAAAUGGUAUUGGGGCAGUGAUUAUUACUCCUCAAGGCACACAUUUUCCUUUUACAGCAAGGCUAACUUUCAAAUGCACGAAUAAUAUGGCGGAAUAUGAGGCCUAUAUUAUGGGUUUGGAAGAGUGUAUUGAUCUUAGGAUCAAACAUCUUGAUGUUUAUGGUGAUUCGGCCCUUGUUGUUAAUCAGAUUAAGGGUGAAUGGGAAACGAAUCAGCCUGGCCUCAUCCCCAUACAGAGAUUAUGCGAGGAGGAUUUCAACUUUCUUUACUGAGGUUGACUUCCAUCAUAUUCCUCGAGAUGAGAAUCGGAUGGCAGAUGCACUUGCUACGCUUGCUUCAAUGAUUAUGGUGAAAUAUUGGAAUGAAGUCCCUCAUAUUACUGUGAUGCACUUGGAUAGACCAGCUCAUGUGUUUGUAGUUGAGGAAGUGAAAGAUGAUAAGCCAUGGUAUUAUGAUAUCAAGUGCUUUCUCCAAAGUCAGAUUUACCCGCCUGAGGCAUCUGUUAAAGAUAAGAAGAUUUUGAAGAGAUUAUCUGGCAGUUUCUACCUUAAUGGUGAUGUGCUUUAUAAGAGGAAUUUUGACAUGGUUCUACUCAGAUGCGUGGAUAGACACGAAGCAAACCUGUUGAUGACUGAAGUCCAUGAGGGUUCAUUUGGUACUCAUUCCAAUUGACAUGCCAUGGCAAAGAAGAUGUUGAGAGCAAGCUACUAUUGGCUGACAAUGGAGUCUGACUGCUGCAAAUAUGUGAAGAAAUGCCACAAGUGUCAAAUUUAUGUGGAUAAGAUUCAUAUUGCCCCGACACUUCUGAAUGUUAUUUCCUCACCAUUGCCUUUCUCCAUGUGGGGAAUUGACAUGAUUAGCAUGAUUGAGCCAAAGGCGUUGAACGAUCACCGUUUUAUUCUCGUAGCUAUUGAUUACUUCAUCAAGUGGGUUGAAGCGGCAUCGUAUGCAAAUGUGACCAGGCAGGUGGUUGUGAAGUUUAUGAAGAACCAGCUAAUAUGCCGAUAUGGUGUGCCAGACAAGAUCAUUACUGAUAAUGGAUCUAGCUUGAACAACAAGAUGAUGAAAGAGCUGUGUAGCGAGUUCAAGAUUGCACAUCAUAAUUCUUCUCCCUACAGACCCAAGAUGAAUGGGGAUGUUGAAGCUGCUAACAAGAACAUCAAGAAGAUUAUUCAUAAUAUGGUUAUUACGUACAAAGAUUGGCAUGAGAUGCUGCUAUUCGGCUUGCAUGGUUAUCAUACAUCUGUUCGCACUUCAACAGGGGCAACCCAUUUUUCUCUUGUGUAUGGCAUGGAGGUUGUGCUCCCCGUGGAGGUUGAGAUCCCAUCAGUGAGAGUCUUGAUGGAAGCCAAGUUGAUUGAGGCUGAAUGGGUUCAGAGUCGUUAUGACCAACUGAAUUUAAUUGAAGAGAAGAGAUUAACUGCCAUGUGUCAUGGUCAGUUGUAUCAACAAAGGAUGAAGAAAGCCUUUGAUAAGAAGGUCAAGCCUCGUGUGUUCAAAGAAUGUGACCUCGUGCUCAAGAAAGUCUUGUCUUUCAUGCCCGAUUCUAGGGGCAAGUGGACUUCAAACUAUAAAGGUCCAUAUGUUGUUAAGAGAGCCUUUUCAGGCGGUGUUUUGUUGCUUACAACUGUGGAUGGGGAGGAUUUUGAAGGUGAGAAAAACAAGAAAGGGGGGUUUGAAUUGUUUGAAAAAAAAAACUCCUUCUGCUCCCUAUUAUGACCUUAUUGUCCCUUUGGAGUCAGAUUCCUGAGUUGAGAUGUGCCUUUUGGUCCUCCUAGACGUUUCGGAUGAUUGUAUUCUUCCCCUUAUACGGUCUUAGAUUUCUUUCUCCUUGAGCAUGUUGUUCUCUCACCCAGUAAGCCGGUGGUUGACGAUAUGUCUCCCUUUUGAUUAUACCGGUAUCGGUAAUAUCUCGGUUUGUCUUCUCAGUGAAGUCCUUUUGGACAUCUCCCGUCGAGUCGGAUUUUUAUCUGAAGUAUCCUUGUGGAUAGUUGUUGUAUGGCAUAUCCCCAAUACAUGCAUCCUUGCGUCAGCUUGAGUCCUUUUCCAGUGAUUAAAUUCGUGAAACCCUUCGUUGUCUCCCACAAGUAAUCAGUCCGUGACUGCUCACGUGUUUUACCUUAUUUAAACCCCAGAGUCCUCUGUCUCAUUAGUGAGUGCAUACUCCUAUGAUUUUCAGUUACUCCGUCUUUCCUCGUGGCUUAUCACCUGAAGAUUUUAUUACAUACAUUUCAUCAUGAGGUCCUUAGGGACGCAAAAUCGUUUCUUUGUUAUUAUUAACGGCACAUUCUACUACCUCGUCGAAGACGGAGAUUUUAACCUUCAUACAUCCGGCUAGAAUGACCUUAAAAUAGGGCAUCUGUAAGACCCAAUUUUGACCCUAAGAUCCCUCCAUAGGCAUCCAUAUCAUUGCUCAUGUAUGUCUCAAGGAUCAUACAGUGUGGCUCUUAACCCUAGGGUUGGGACCUGUGUGAGGAUUGAGAACCACCAGCCAUGCUGUAUUUACAUUAAUGGCUUUUCCUUACUAACCAAAAGCAAAAACUAUGUCACUAACUCUGUUUGUUUUGAAGCUGCAAGUGACAGUUGCUCUCAUGCCCUAGGAGGCUAUAAAACUCUAAUGAAGUGGCUAGAUGAGAUGCAGGGCAAGCAUGACACUGGUCCACAAAGCACAAUUACAUACAUAUACGUCUCGUCAAAGUAUUCAAUUGCCAAUUGAUCAAGAUAACCAAAGGGCUUGAGGAUGUGUUUCCCAAGGAAACCCUAACUCAAUUGGCUUUGACUGUGCCUUGCUCAUGAAGCACCUAAACCAGAUCAAUUAAUCAAGGGAAGUCUUCAUUCAUUAUUUAGCACAUAAUGAGCCAUUUGAGGACCUCAAUCAAUUCAUCCAUCAAAGAUUGAAGUGGCCUUCAGAAGUUGACCAGUCAAAGUCAUCUGACUAAAACUGAGGAUCACUGAGAUAUACCUUAAGAUUUGUUGUCCAAAUGAAGAUUACCGAGAGAAAAUGUUAUUUAAGACCAUAUGAAAAACUUUAAAUGUUCAUCAAAAUCCAUUUGAAAAUUGGAAGGUCAUAUACAUUUCAAAACAUCAUAGGUCAUUUUGAAUGAAACCUAAUUUUGGGUCAACUUCCCCAAGGACCUAACCCUUAAUUUUUAUGAUUUUGAGGUGAGACCAAAUGAAUUGGAAAUCUUAAUAUGUAACUUCAGAUGUUUAUGUUGGACAAAAAUUUCAAUAAUCUAAAAAUAAAUACAGUGUAAUACAAAACAUUAUAGGUCACUUGGAGCUAACCAUUGAAUUUUGAAAAAUGUCCAACUUCAAGGCCAUAACUUCUCAUGAAAAAUCAUGCCAAAUGAUGCGAAAUGUCAGUCUACUAAAUUGAUCAUCUUGAACAUAGUACAACUUUAAUGUUGGCAGUUUUCCAUUUGAGGCUUGCAUCAUUGAAAGCAGAAGGGCCUGAAAAAUGCUGAUUUUGGUAAAAAAACAAAUGGAACCUAGACAUGUUUUUGUACCAAACUCACAGCAAUUUCAAUCCAAACUCCAAAUGAAUCUGCCAACAUGACUUUUGUCCUCGUUUCAAGGAUUUCCAACCAAUUACUCAAUUUUUUUUGCGACUUCAUCAGAGUGAGUUUCCGAAGAGCUUAAUGUUAUGUGCUUUUGCAUUUCACUUUGUAAGCUCAUUGCAAGCCAAAUGCAAGCUCCCAAAUUACACGUCCCAAUUCACUAUCAACUUUCUGCAUCUCAGCAGUGGAUGUUCCUCACUGUUAGGCUGCACAUGCGGCCGGUACAGGCCCAUGCAUGGCAGAUCCAAAAUUCAUGCACGACGAGGGAAGGCCAUCGCUUUGCAUCCACUUCCAGCUAUAAAUAGAAGCUCAAUACUCAUUCAAAUGAUACACAACGGAGACUCUGAAAUGCUGCUCGGAUUGACACAAACCAAACCCUCACCAAGAAUUCGUUUUUUCUAUUUCAUUUUCAAGCUUGAAGUUUCAACAUCAUUCCAGUUGAACUUUCAAACAUAAUUCCCUUAACUUCAUCACUAUCACAAACUUCAGACCAAAAUUGGACUCAAGAGCUUACUAACUUCGUGUGUUUGAAGCUCCAUUUCAGAGGUAUAGUCACCAAACUUUUUGAAUUCAAGAUCUUGAAUAUCAAUGAUGAAUUUUUUGGUUUGGUUGUUUUCUGAAGGUCUCAAGCAUGAGGCCCACACACCCGCAGUGGUGGUCUUAAAUUUUGCAAAUCGUGGUCAUUUCAGACUCAAGCACCAUGAUCUUCAAGCUCAUGUCUCUUUAAACAGAACUUAUGGAGAAAUGAUGCCAUGGUUACAGGGGUGAUGUACAUCACCUCAGCUUCAUUUGAAUACCUUCCUCUUUUCACUUUUCUUAUGGUCUGAUUUCCCGCUGUCGGGUGGCCCCGGAAUUGGUUGUUGGCGGAGAAAGAUGGUGGUUGUUCGCACCACCAUCCCCACGUGGAGCUCGCAGAGCCCUGGAGUCUUGAGUAAACGUUUAAUCUGUGGCCUUGUAUUAUGUUGACUUGUUUUAAAUCAAUGUGGUAACGCGCUGAUGACCAAGGAAGUAUAUGUGACCGCCCCCGGCCGCCUCUAGAGCAUCCUAGGCAUACUGUGAGUAUAAUAAUGAUCGGUGCUCAGAUGUUUUGUAAUUUCUUUAUUUUAUUUCAUAAUUCCUUAUUUUCAAAAAAUUCAUAAAUAUUAUUUGAAACAAAAAUAGAGAACCAAUGCCAAAAAAUUCUUGAAAAAAUUAGCUUUCAUCAUUUUGAUUUUAUAAUUAAUUUUUGUGACGUUGAUUUAAUAUUUUGUGAAUUAGUUCUGGUUUUUAAAGUUUUUAAUUCAUUUUAAUUAUCUUUUUUGAUAUUUGAAAAAUCCAAGAAAUAUUUUCUUGAACACAUAUGGAUCAUGAUCAGUAAUGAAAAACAUCUCACAAAUCAUUCUUAAUCUGAUUUGAGAUUUAAUUUGAGAAUUUUGAAUCAUUUGUGUAUUUUUCAUUGUUUUUUAUUGUUUUAAAAAUAGUUUCUGAAUUUCAAAAAUAUUGAAAUAUUUGUCAAAGCUGCUUUGAACCAUCGUUAGACCUAUGCAGAAUUAAGUUGGACUUGGUUCAAGUUGGAGAUUUGAAAUUAAAUUUGAGGUUUGACCAUAUUUGGUCUAUUUAUUUUGCAUUAAUUUUUAAUUCAAAAUCCAAAAAGAUAUGUUGACCUUGUUGACAAUUGUGAUCUUCAAUUCUCUUUCUGUUUAGCAUUGGUUGAUGAUGAAUUUUGAUUCACUUUGACCAAUUUGUUUGGAUAUUUGAUUUCUCUUUUCAUUCACUUUCAUCUUCAUCUCUUUCUUUUUUUUGGCCAAUGAGUUAGAUGUCUUAUGGUUGGUCUGACAAUGAGAGGUUUAACCUUCUUGAUCCAAAUCAAACUCAAAUUUGAUCCAAGAUCAAGUGAGUUGCAUUGUGUCCAAGAUAGGUUGCUUCUUGGUCAAGCAAAAAACCUAACGUCCAUACAAGGCCUUCUCUUUCUUUGCAUGGCAAGUCGUAGGAAGCUUGGCUUACUAGUCAUUGAUCUCUAAACUUGGUUUAUUUCCCAUAAGUUUAUGAACCGCCUCAAAGAAUAGGUGUGACUACUUCAUAGUUCAACUACGAUUGCUUAACAUAGCGCUAAAUGUCUUAGACAAACUUAACAUAACCAUACUAUUACAACCUUAAUUUGAGCAUUAAUUUCUGGCAAUUUACUUUAUGAAUUUAGCUUCUUGCCAUUAUCAUUGCUUUUUCAUUUGCUACGAACAGCAUAUUUUAUGUUUAUCAAUUUUCCUUUGCUCAUUUGAGCCAUUAUUGUAUAAAAUAUAUUGUUUCUUGAUGUUUUUCUUUGUUUUGUGUGAACCUAAACAUGCAAAAGGAAGAAAGGACUUAGAAUUAGGACUUACCUAUGCUAAAGAAAGUUCAGAGUAACUAAGGCCUCAUGCUAGAAAUGCUAAACUUGUUGAAGAGCAACUAGCUUCCAUGCCUUUAGAAUGCAAAAUUUCAAAGUACUUCAAAGGACUUCCUUUCCAAAGCUCAUUCUUUGUCCAUUCCUCUUAUUGGUGUGAACUUUUUGAUGUUUGUCUUGUGUGGAAGGAUUCCAUCUUGAGAUAGUAAGAAGACCAUGUCAUGAAUAGCCCAGUAAGAGGACAAAGCCAAAAUGGAAUCCUAGGAGGUUGAUCCAAAAUAUUGUUGAUUGCGUAUUGUUGCUAAGUCCAAAGAAUAAGGAUCCUUGAAUUAAUCUUUAUGAUCCAAGAAAAGAACUCUAAGGUUAUCUCUUUCUCUAUCUUGAUGCUUUAAGGACAGCCCUUCUCUUCUCUCCUCACUCUAACCCAAGCAAACCUUUUUUGUGUCAAAACCUUUGACUUUGUUUCAAAUUAAGAAAACCUAUGGCGUUAUGCCUUGACUUUUCAAAAUCUUUCCAUUAAUACUCAUGUGAAUAAAUCUAAUUCAAUUUGACGCUCAUUUUGUAAAAAAUCUAACUUGUAAAUACAACCAUUCAAGUGAUUUGUUGCCAAUGCACCUUUGUUAAACCUUUUAUAAACAUAGUCAUAGGUUUGAGUUAUCAUAAGUGUUGGUAAAACGUCACCUAAUCCUUAUGAUUGGAUAUAAAGUCCUCAUACUUAUUAUAGGGUUAAUCCUCACUAGAUUGAAGCUCUCUCACAUGGGAUGAUGGUUUAGGUUGAGUUUCUGCCCUUUGAUAACCAAAAGACCUUAAGCUUUGACAAAUCAAAUCAUCAAAUCUUUGAAUUUUUACCGCCGAACUAGGAGGUUUUGAUCUACCGUGGUGAUGGUACGUAAGGCAAUGGGUUAUCCAUUCAAACAAAAAUUUUAAAUAUAAAUAUUCUUCUCGACCCCCUCAUCCCCCAAUCUUUUGACAUAUUUUCAUAAAUCACAACCUACAACACAUAUUUCAAAAGAGGUCCCUUAGAGACUAAGGAUGUCUGGGGUGCGUAAACCUCCCAUUUCAUAACCAAACGCCCCUUACUUGAGAUAUCUCUCUCUGAUAUUUAUUAGUUUUUGAUUUGUAAAACUUCUUACUUGGCUUUGUUCCGCUUUUAGCCUUUCCUUGGACCAAAUAAAAGUGGCGGUGAACGACAUCGAAUUAUAGGUUUACUUUGUUGUAGUCAAUAAGCCUAAAAGUAACGAAUACCCCGCACAAAAGUGGGACCUGCGGGAAAUCUAAUGUUCCUAGUGGGUUCAGCCUACUUUUGCUUGUAUGUGUUUAUGUUAAUUUAUUUAGUCAUAUUUUUGUGGCAAAUUGGAUGACUGUAUUAAAUUGUAAUUAUGAAUGUUUUGAUACUAAUUGGCUUCGUGUGCUUGGUGGUCUCCUUGGUGAGAUGAGUUCUAAUACCGACUCGAGUCACUUAUGAUAGGAGAAUGGCAAGUCUUGUUGACUUGUGUGGAGUUUAUCCUUCAGACAAGUUGACUUCAAGCAUAUUCACUUGUGAGGGUCUUGGGAUCAAUAAUGUCACUACAGAGUAAUCAUGGUUAGGCAUUACUCUUUCUCAAUAUAAACCUUAAAGCGCAAGGACCUUAACUACGCUAACCCAUCUUGGCCUAUUUUUAGGCAACGAGUGCGAAGGUCGUCAAGUGUACGAUUUGAUACGAUGUUACGUGGAAUACUACACUCAUAAGAGUCUCUCUUUGAUGCAAUUUUGGAAUACGAGUAGUGUUUACCGAAUAUAUCUGAAAGAUGAAUGAGGACUAUGGACCUUUUUAGACAUAUGUCAGGUUUAAACCAUAGUACACUCCUUGGGGUUCUUUAACCGAGACUCCAUGCUCGUGACUACAAUAAACCCUUGAUUGCGUUGAUCCGUUCUCAUAUAUCCUCAAUAUCAAUAGGAAUUGGUUGAUAAGGUGUACCCAUGAAUCCAACCAAAGGGAGGAUGAUUGAGAUAACGGAGCCAUCCCGUGACUUUGUGUGGUGUACUUCGGCUUGAUCCUUGAGUGUGAUUGUUGCAUCCAUUGCAUUCAUGCAUUCAUGCAUUCAUUCAUCCAUAUCACACAAAUAAAGAAUUUCAAGGAAACUUAAGAGUCAUUUGCAAAUUUCAGACAUGAAUAACAAGAAGAAUACAAGAAUACAGUUUCAGACAACUCACUUAAAGAAUAGAGUUUGACAUCUAGUAUAGAGCCCUUGGAGGUUCAAAGCCGCCAUGGAAAGCUCUGUCAUUCUUUCUACGCAAGGUGGAUGAAGGUUUGAUGAGUGUGGUUGGUAGCAGGUUCUAUUGGAAAUCCUUUGUAUCGAUCUUAUUUUUUCCCGAUUUCCACUUUCCAUCAUGGGGAUAUCUAUCUUGGAUCAGUGCGUUCAGUGGUUGGAGAGCGAUCCUCUUCCAAAAUUGCUAAUAUCUUCACAUAAUACUAUAUUGUUGGGGCCUAGACUACCAAAGGGAAUUCAAGGCCCCAUCAGAUUCUCAUGCCCAAGUACUUUGUUUGAAGCCAUGAGUGAGCGCCUUGAAGCCGAUGUGCUCUCAUCUAGGCGUGUUAACGCACAUCGACAAUUGUGGAUUGAACGCUAUUAGGAUUUUCUCUUCUCUUAACCCGUUUCACUCUGUGGGUGACACUUAUUUCUCUUUGCAUAUGAGAAUCAAAGGGGUGGUCCAUUGUGUGUUGUUUGUCUUGUUGCUAAAAGUGUUUAUUUCGCACUUGCCUCAGACGCUCGCCUCAAGGAGAACAAGGAUUCUACGGGUCUUGUGAACUCAGUCUUUACUAAUGAUGAACCUUGGUAUAACGUGUUAUGAUGCGUCAGAUUAUGCUCUUGUGGUGAUUCUCACAAUGGCCUCUUCUCGGUACAUGUGGUGGAAUUAACUACAACCGCUGUUUGCUCGCCGCAGCUGGGUUCCCCUUAAAAGAUAAACCUAACAAAUUUUGUAGAAGGGUGUCUUUCAAGAAGUAAAGAUCCCCAGAAAUUGAAGGAGAUGCCCGCGCCUGGCGCAAAGUUCAAUAGGAAGGGCAAGGAAGGAGCUAGGGCCGAAGAAUUGUAUGCUUUGGAACCCUAACCCGGGGUGAGGAAGAGAGCUCUUAAGUACUGAUCUCGUAUGAUAUCCAAGACCGUACCCCUAUGGUUAUGGUUGGCCUUCAACCCUCCCUAACCAAGGAGUAAGAGAGUGAGAGAUGAAAGACCGAUCGCGUGCUGUUCUGAGGAGAGGUAACAACUCAGCACCCCAGAGAUAAGGAUCAAUGAAGAAUUUAGAGCAUCAGGUAUUGAGAGCCUGAUGUGUGGUACUUUCUUCUUCCUUACUCAUCCAGUUGAGAGAAAUAUGAUCAGCUCGCCUAGAGAACUAUAUGGAACAGCUUAGAGAGAGAGGUGAAAGGCUCAUCAGCUAUCUUCCGAUUUCGACGGCUUUGACAUUGUUUUUAGGGCUUCAAUAGGAUUUAUCCCUUUUCUCUUGUAUGAUUGUACCAAAACUGUCUACUUCUUUGGUUAAAAGUUUCCAAAUAUUAUCGCUAUGACAUCCAAUAAUGUCUAAAAUAUUAAUAUUUCAAGUAUUGUAAAUAGACCUCUAAAAUUCCCAAAUAAAAACAAAUCAUACGCACAAACAUUGCAUGCAUCAUAUCAUAAGAAGUUGUGUUUCUGAGCUCUUGAUUAGUGGUCUAACUCUGUCUUCAUUUAUUGAAGACAAUUGACGCACCGUAUAAACGCAGAGCCAAUCAUCCAAGAUAAUGGAGCAUUUAGAGCAAGCAGAACCGGGAAUGAAAGAAGAGAUUGCGCUGACUGCCAUGAUGGAUCAGUUUGGCCGCCCAAAGCCAAGCUUCGCCGACUCCUGCAACUCCUCCCGCGAGGACUGUUAUAUCAGCGAUAGCUGACAGCUUGCUGUGCAACCCACUGCGCCAUCUAUGUCAGCGGUUCCCUGGGGAAUGCUGCUAACUUGUGGCCAGAAGGUUGCUCCUACUCUCGCUCUCUACUACGCCAUCUACCCAGUCUUAUCUGUGUCACCUCUCAUUAGCAACCCUACCCCGUGUUGAAGACACCCAUCUAUUCAUCGAGCGCAUCGAGGGCCCGGAUGGUUAUGAGAAGAUGGAUGAAAUAAAGACUAAUCAUUAGCUGCGCAAGGAACUGAAGCUCAAGGGGAAGACCUCUUGGUAAAAGUGCUCGAUGUGCCUAUGCCCAACGUGAAGAUCCCUGUUAUGUUAAUUCAUAAGGCAAGACGUGAGAAGUACAAGGAAACACCAUCCCGCUCAGCAUCUUGUAUUAUGCUCAACAGAUGUCAACCACAACUGAUAACGACCAAACUGCUUAUUCCAUUACUUCCAGGAAACCCAUUAGGGCGCGCUCGGUGGUAUAUGGGCCUGGAGCAGUGUUAGCAAUCGCGCUCUUUCAACGAUUAAGGAAGGCCUUCAUCAAGCAGUAUAAAAUAAUGGAUAUGGCUCCGGAUAGGGAAUAGUAGGGAAAUGUCGCAGAAGGACCAAAAGAGACCCUCAAAGACGCCUAAGAGAUGCGAGACGCUGCAGCUCAGAAAGUGCCACCCUAAAGAGAAGAGAUGACCAAAAUAUUUGAAGACUUUGCGCUCUUCUAUAUAAAGAAUGAUAACAGCUGCCCCUCAGACUUCACCGAAAUGGUGAACAUGGGAAUAAGAUUGGAAAGGGGGUCCGUGAAGGACGUUUCUAGGGAGAUGUUCCUCAGCAAAGAGGUAUGGGGGCUUGCUAAGAAGAAGGAAGAGAGUACAUUUGUGUCUCCCAUAUAAAAGAGGCCUCUAUGAGGAGGAAGGACGUGCGGCCCUGCCGUCACCAACCACCAGGUGGCUCACAUACCAUGCUUUUCGAGAAAUUCCAUCACAAACACAACCACAACACGUCACAACAACAAGCCUACCAGCCUCGAAACAAUAAUAACACCAGCACCAGCAACACGAGAGGAAAGGGUAACUUACACCGAUCCGAUGACUUAUGCUGACUGUAAUCCCUCCUUAAUUGAUAAGGAAGUUGAUAACCUAGGCGAGAAUUGUUCUCGUACCGACCAACCCUCAGUGGUGGAUAACCGAAGCCCCGAGCCUUCACGUUAUACAUUCCAGUGCUCCCGAAUGACGUGGAAACCGUACCCAUGAAGAAAGAUGCAAGACCUUGUGAGAAUGUAUUUGUUUUUGAGGAGGCCAAUGUAGAAGACCCCAUUGCUCAGCCAUGGAAUGUGUAACAUGGUCCAGGUGCCUUGGCAAAUAUAAAGUCCUGUAUGUUAAUGACAUAAGGCAAUCUUUGGUCCGAGAUGCACAAUGUUGUGUGAACACAACCACUACGAGCAUGAACCAUAUAGGUGCCAGGUGCACUAUCAUGAAAGAGGAUACGAAAUAGAAAGGACAUCCAAGAGAUACUGAUCAGGGAAUGAGUGAAAUUACUUCAGAAUCGCAAUGAGGACGAAGUUGAGUUACUCCCUGAUUAGAAUCCCUGAAGACCUGUUGUUUCGAGUAUGAUGGCAGCAAGAAGAAUAUCACCAAGCUUGGAUAAGCCAUCAGGCAUGUCCCGUAGUAUCGGAACAAGACUGUUCCCUAACAAGAAUAACGCACCAUGCAGAAGAUGGGAAAGUCGUCCCCUCCAACCUCUGUUGAAAGCAUCUGAGUCAUGGGUGACCCGUAUGGUCCGUGUUUCUCGGCCCCGCCGAACCCAUGAAGAUGUCAUGAGGAGAACUGUUGUUAAUCAUGCCGGUCCGUGGGGACUCUUCUGCAAAAAUGUUCCUCUGUGACCCUGUUGCUGUAAAUCCCAAUAACACUCAUAUCCUAGUUGGCCACUGGCAUAUUUGAAAGAGGAUGGAUAGAUGCAAGGCCAAUCAAAAGGAGUGAAUAAAUGUUGUGAUCAGCUGCUACAAACACAUCAAAGAUAUCUGUAAUGAUCUUGUUGAUGAUUCUGAAGCCAGCACCGCGAACUUUGGCAGAGGGGUAGACGUGGCAACUGGAUCACGAUGUCACAAUGAGCAGUUUGAUAGCAUUGUUCGCAAUAAACCGCUUGCAACACUUGAGUUCUGUGAUGCUGAUCUUCUCGAGGAGGGAAAAGACCAGCAAUGGCGCUAAACAUUUCACUGAACGUAAAGGAAUGAAGGCCUGUCCAAUGUGUUGGCACAGGAUCAUUACUAAUGUGUUUGCCAAAAAUCCACUCUUGCUAAACUUCUUACCAGGGGCCUCCGAGAGGCAUAGUGAGUGUGAAGGCUUGAUGGAUGCAAAAACCGUGAUCGGUGAAUAGAACUCCCGAUCAAGAUUGGACCUAGUAUUUCAUAUCACUUCCAGGCCAUGGAUAUUCAUUCAUCUUAUCACUGUUUGCUUGGAGACCAUGGACCACGAUGCCAGCGUCGUGACAUCCACCCUACACCAAAAGUUGAAUUUUGAAAACAGAAGUUGGUGGUGAUAAGGGGAGAAGAAGCUCUCUGGCAUCCAUUAAUCCUUUCCUAUAUGACGCGAGGAGAGGUUGGACUCCGUUCGCAAGCCUUGUCUAUGUGAGCUCAAGGAAAUGACUUCUUCAUUUGUCUCCUAUGAACACGCGAAGUUGCCAUUGACAUGGUGCAAAUACUGGUUAGGGCCAAAUAUCAAGUUGGAGGAUAACAAAUCCGAUAUGGCAAUAGGUAUUCUUCUGGUAUUCCAAUGAGUGGUGGUAUUCCAGAGUGGAGGUUUUAUCCACACAGUUGAAGAUCAAGGAAGCGAUCAUUGUUGAAGAUGAAAGAGAAGAUCUUGGAAACUGUCCAUACCUGGCGGAAUCUCAAUAAUUGGGUCGCGUGAUGUUCCACAGUUAUCCAUAAUCAACGUAAUGUGUCAUUUGUUGAAAACCCUUCCCCAUGGCAAAAGAGAAGUAUGACAUUGCUGCCAUAAUUAUUAAUACAAUGAUAUUCAUUCAAUAAUCAACAUGUAAAUGUUUAUUUCCAAAUUAUUUCCUUUUGCUUUGCAUGACAUGGUGAUCACCAUAAAACCCUAAAAAGAGAAUAAAAUUAAUCUUUUCAUCUGGCAUAAAUGAUUUGCCUUGCUGAAUAUGAAAAUCUUAUACCAAAAUCAUUAGCAGGUAAUCAAACAAUUGAACAAUGACCAACACCAUCUCCCACUGAGUUCGCCUUUGUAAUUUGAGGCAGAAGAAGAUGAGUUGAAGAAGAUUGCUGAUGAAAUUACCGUCUGUCUGAGCACCGAGGAAAGAUUCAUUCAGCCGCAUCUUGAGAAUCUGACAACACCUUGGGGUCCUGAAGACUGUGUUCGUGAAAAUAUUCGGGGCACUCCUGAAGAGUCUAUGAGAAAGGUUGAUCGAGUUGCCUAUGAAAAUGUCGACGUCUUUGCCUGGUCGUAUGAAAACAUGCCUAGCUUAGAUACUGAUAUUGUGGCAACCAUUUCCUACCAUGAAGCCUGAAGUCGUGUGCUAUCCAAAAGCAGAAGCUCAGAAGAACUCAUCCAAUAUAGCAGUGAAGAUAAAAGAGAAGUUCAGAAGCAAAUUGAUAGGGUUUCUGGUAACUACAUAUCCUCUAUGUGCCAAUAUUGUGCUGUCCUAAGAAAAUGGAAAAGUCCAAAUGUGUGUGGAACCUGACUUGAAUAAACUAGUCCCGAAAGAUGAUUUUCCUCUACACACAUUGAUAUGUUGGUAGACAUACUAAAUUCAAUGUCGUCUCAUUUUUAUGAUGGAAUUUCCGUUACAACCAGAUAAAAUGGCACACGAGAUAUGGAGAAAGACAACACAUCACACAUUGGGGAACACUGUUUCGAGUGAGAUGCCGCUUGUUGAAGAACGCCGGAGCACACGAUCAAUGCGCUAUGAACUACCUGUUUCAUGAUAUGAUGAAUAAGCGAGACUGAGUUAGUUGAUGAUAUGAGCAAAUUCGAAAACGGAAGUCUGAACAUGUAAGACACUUGUUUGAAGCUUUUUCCAGCGUUUGAGGAAGUAAAACCCUGCGAACAAGUGUACAUUGGAGUCGCGUCCGGAAGUUAUGGGCCUAUAUGCAGUGAAAGAGGUAAUUGAAGUGAUCAAUGCCAAGCGUCAAAGCAAUAACAGAGUUGCCUGCGCCAAAACUGAGAACAAGUCCGAGGUUCUUGCCUUGAAUUACAUUUCGAGAUUUAUAUCCACAUGACUGCCACAUGUCGCACUAUAUAAGCUCGCUCGCAGAAAAAUCAGCGUCAUGAUUGGACCGGGAUUCCAGAAAGGCCUUUGAUAGUACAAAGAGUGUUUGUCUGGCCUCCGCGAUUUUGUCUCGGCGCCGAUGUUGAAGGGAGACCCUUGAUGAUGUAUGUGACUGUGCUUGAUGAUUCCACGGUUGUGUUGGGUAGCAAGAUGUAAUCAGGAAAAGAAAGAGAUGCAAAUAUACUACUUGACAAGAGUUUCACUGAAUUUUUGAGUCUCGUACCAAUGCUUGAGAAACAUGAGGCUUUGGCUUUGGGCUGCUAAGCGCUUACACCAGUAUAUCUGAAGUCAUAUCGAUUGGUUGAUCCCAAAAUGGAUCCAUCAAGUAUAUCUUGUAGAAGCCUGCUUUAAAUUGGGAGGAUUCCCUGGCAAGAUUUUUAUCUGAGUAUGAUAUGAGUACGAGCUCCAGAAAGCUUAUUAAAGGUAAGUUAUCUGGCUGACCACUUUGGCACAAUCAAACCCAAUUGAAGAUUAUCAGUUCUAUCAGUAUAACUUCCCAAAAAAUGAGAUAUUAUGUGAAGAUGAAAGAUGUGAGAGCCUACGGAUAUAUAUAUAUAUAUAUAUCCCGCUAGAUUGAGUACCUCACCCUGGGGCAAUCUAGGCAAAAAUUAGGGAUUUGGCAAGUAAUUGCAUCCUGACAAGACUUUGUUCUUCAACUGUCAUCUAUCAAAUAUUCUCGCUCAGUUGUCAUCAACUGAAGCUUCAAAUACAUUGGAUUCAGAGUUGGUGGAGAAAUGGUCAUUAUGUUCAAUGUAGCCCUUUUUUCCCAAUAUAUAUCACCAAUUUCAAAUUUAUAAAGAUCCAUGGAGUCUCGCCAUUUGCGGGCUACCAUUCUAUUAAAUAAAUUCGAGCCUUUAUACAAUUCUUUGCACUCUUAUUUUGUUUCUUUGUGACAAAUGUUUGCAUGUUUUAAUUGAUAAAUAUCAUUGUUUUAAACGAAUAAAGUUUUUAUAAAACUGUUUUAAACAAAGUGAACAUUCGCGAUGACUAAAAGGAUAGUUGGAAUGUCUUCAGUGCUCUCCCAAGGAUAGUACGAUUUCCAAAAGGGUAGGAUAUUUGUUCAUUUUCUGGCAUUCUUAUAUCCUCUCCAUCAGCUUUCAAGUUGUCUCCUCAGCGAGCGCAGAAGAGUGAUACAUCGUCAGCUUCCCAAAGAAUUUGACGCUAGCAUUUGUGUUUUAUCAAUUAUAUGAUUGUCAUCCCUUGUGUGGACUGACCUAAAAUCCCUUAUAGAUUGAUAAAAGUUAGUAUGCUAUCUAUUCAUGAGGAAGUUUGUCUUUCCCCAGUAUGAGUAGAAGUCCUCUGCGGAGUAAGCAUGUGUUCCCUGCAUAGCUGCCUUUCCAGAUAAGUUGUUUCCUCAGCAGGAAGUUUGUCCAGGGAAGUUGGUGAAGGGCUUGAGUCCCUUUUCAUCCCCAGCAUGGCGCUUGUUGAUGAAGGAUUCGUUUACGUUUCCCUCAGUCAGGACAGUUCCUUCGGGAGUACUAGCAAUUUAUCCCCAAUAUGGUCGCCUACAGUCCAUCCCUAGUAGGAUUGCCCAAUCCGAGCUUGAUAGUUUGUAUCCCCUUCGUGGUUGAAAAUCUCUUCCAGUAUUGGACGGUGAUGAGGAAGAUGUGUUAUUUCCUUCCCAGCGGAGCAAUUGUUCUUCCUCCCCUUAGCAGAGAUGUCUCUCCAGCAGUUAGAAGGGAGUGCUUGAUUGAUGUGUAUAUAUUUGGUGGGUGUUCCUCACAGAAUUUCACAUCAUCCCUUGUUAAGAUCCCCAGUAGAGUUUCUUCUAUGAUAGAUCUUAUUGGUAUCCAACCACCUGUUCCCGUGAAAUGAUGAAGGAUCCCCGACAGUUGGUAGCUGUGACCUUUGCCUAUCCCCAGCGGUGAUCUAUGUCUCCUGGUAUUAGAUCCUCCCCACCAGAGAUGAGCUCUCUUGUGGGGCCUGACCUUUCUCUUUUUGAAGAUGUUAUACCGGAUGUCCGUUAGUGGCACUAGAGUCUGUUUGUGUUAGAUAUGUCUGUUUGUCAGCAUUAAUCAUACAUAAACCAUGCAUAUACAUGCAUAAUCAUAACAUUCAAAUAUUCAUGAUGCAUUCUUUGCCAUAUAUCUUUGCUUGGUAUCUCCUGCUAUUGGUGAAAUAUUCUUCCCCAAGCAGAUGUUUGUGUCUGAUCUCUCCAUAUCGAGUCAGCCCCAUAGGCAGAAAGUGUCUAUCUUUCCUUCUUUAUUCCCCACUGAGUUAGGUCCUCGUGGAUGAUUUUUGUUUCAGUUUUCGCCCCAGUUAUGUAUCGGGAUGGAAUUACUCCCCUGAGUUAUAUCCUCAUCGGGUUGAGUCUUGUUUGAUUGUGUCUUUCUAGUUUGUUCCUGGAACGACUUUCUUUCUUGUUAUCCCCUGCGGUUCCCUGUGGUUUAGUUGUUCAAUUGCUCAGUAACCAGUAAUUGUUCAUCCUUUUCCACAACAAACUAUGUGGCCUUCUACCCAAUAACUAGUAGUUGUAAGUCCUUUUUCUGUGGUUUUCUACCCAUUAACCGGUAGAUGUAAUCCCCUCUUUGUUGGUUAUCUUUACCCAGUAACCGGUAUUGAUACUCCUUCAUUUUUGAGUAUACCACCCAGUAGCCGGUGAUAUAUCUCUUGGAUAAUUGCUUUUGUCAAGCAAUUUAUCCCCGCCGUGUCAUCUUUCAUUUUACCCUUGUUUGGUAAUGAUUGUUUCUCCUUCUGAUUGGUCAUCAUUUUAGACCCAGUAAUCGGUAUCCCGAUGUCCUUUCUUUUCGGUCGAUUUAUCCUUAUUAACCCAGUAACCGGUUAUGGAUAAUAUUCCAUGCGAGUAUGUUAUCUAUGUUCUGACGGUAAUAGAUAAUAUAUCUCACGCGCUCUUCAGUCGAAGUCUUUUUCUUCCCCAGUUGAGUAAGAUUCGUAUUUCCCUGUGGAAUCGAAUGCCCAUCCUGUAAGUUGAGUUUGCUUUUUCAGCCCUCCUUUCGGAUGAUGAGUGUCUUGGAUAUAUUCCCAAUUCACGCCUGGUUGGUCACCUAUUAUAUGCCCAGUAACCGGUAUCCCUGGUGUUCCUUCCUUCUGCUCCCUAUUUUUCAGCCCUCCUUUCGGAUGAUGAGUGUCUUGGAUAUAUUCCCAAUUCACGCCUGGUUGGUCACCUAUUAUAUGCCCAGUAACCGGUAUCCCUGGUGUUCCUUCCUUCUGCUCCCUAUUAUGACCUUUUGUUCCCUUUGGAGUCAGAUUUCUUGAGUUGAGAUGUGCCUUUUGGUCCUCCUUAGACGUUUCGGAUGAUUGAUAUCUCUCACCCUUAUACCGGUCUUAGAUUUUCUUUCUCCUUGAGCAUGUUGUUCUCUCACCCAGUAACCGGUGGUUUGACGAUAUGUCUCCCUUUUGAGUUUAUUACCCGGUAGUCGGUAAUAUCUCGGUUUUUCUUCCUCAGUUGAGUCCUUUGUGGACAUCUCCGUCUGAGUUCGGAUUUUUAUCUGAAGUAUCCUUUGUGGAUAGUUUUGUUGUAUUGGCAUAUUCCCCAAUACAUGCAUCUUUGCGUCAGCUUGAGUCUUUCCAUUGAUUUAUUUUCGUGGAAACCCUUCGUGUCUCCCAACAAGUAUUCAAGUCGUGACCUGCUCACGUGUUUUUACCUUAUUUACCCCAGAGUCUCUGUCUCCUUAGUGAGUGCAUACUCCUAUUGGAUUUUUCAGUUACUUCUGAUUUCUUUUCCUUCGUGGCAAUUAUUCAGCCUGAAGAUUUUAUUACAUACAUUUGCAUCAUGAGGUCUCUUAGGGACCAAAAUUCGUUUCUUUGUUAUUAUUUAAGCACAUUCUACCUCGUCGAGACGGAGAUUUUAACCUUCAUAUCUCCGGCUAGAAUGACCUUAAAUAGGGGCAUCUGUAAGACCCUAAUUUUGACCCUAAGAUCCCUCAUGGCAUCAUAUCAUUGCUCAUUGUAUUGUCUCAAGGAUCAUAGCAUGUGUGGCUCCUUAACCCUAGGGUUGGGACUUGUGUGAGUGGUUUGAGACCACCAAGCAUGCUUGUAUUUUACAUUAUUGCUUUUCUUACUAACCAAAAGCACAAAAAUAUGUCACUAACUCUGUUUGUUUUGAAGCUCAAGUGAUCAUGUGCUCUCAUGCUCCUAGGAGGCUCAUAAACUCAAUGAAGUGGCUAGAUGAAGAUGAGGGCAAGCAUGACAAUGGUCCACAAAGCUACUAAUCAUCAUAUACGUCUCUCAAGUAUCUCAAUUUGCCAAUUUGAUCAAGAUAACCCAAAGGGCUUGAGGAUUGUUUCCCAAGGAAACCCUAACUCAAUUGUGCUUUGACUGUGCCUUGCUCAUGAAGCAACCUAAACCCAUGAUCAAAUUCAAUCAAGGGAAGUUCUUUCAUUCAUUAUUUUAUGCACAUAUGAGCCUAUUUGAGGAUCCUCAAUCAUUCAUUCAUCAAGAUUUGAAGUUUGGCCUUCAGAAGUUGACCAGUCAAGUCAUCUGACUAAACUGAGGAUCACUGAGAUAUACCUUAUGAUUUGUUUGUCAAAUGAAGAUGACCCCGAGAGAAAAAAAUGUUAUUAAGAACCAUAUGAAAAACUUUAAUGUUCAUCAAAAAUCCAUUUGAAAAUUGGAAGGUCAUAAUACAUUUCAAAACAUUAUAGGUCAUUUUGACUGAAACCCUAAUUUUGGGUCAACUUCCCAAGGACCUAACUUCCUUAAUUUUUAUGAUUUUGAGGUGAGACCAAAUGAAUUGGAAAUCUUAAUAUGUAUACUUCAGAUGUUAUGUUGGACAAAAUUUCAUAAUCCUAAAAUAAAUACAUGUGAUAAUACAAAACAUUAUAGGUCACUUUGGACCUAAGCCAUUGAAUUUUGAAAAAUGUCCAACUUCAAGUGCCCAUAACUUUCUCAUGAAAAAUCCAAAUGAUGCGAAAUGUAAGUCUAAAUUGAUCAUCUUGAAAAGAUAUACAACUUUAAUGUUGGAGGUUUUUCCAUUUGAGGCUUGCAUCAUUGAAACAGAAGGGCCUGAAAAUGCUUGAUUUUGGUAAAAAAAAUCAAAUGGAACCUAGACAUGUUUUGUACCCCAAACUUCACAGCCAAUUUUCAUAUUUCCAAACUCCAAAUGAAUUCUUGCCCAACAUGACUUUUGUUCCUCGUUUCAAGGGAUUUCCAACCAUUACUCAUAUUUUUUUUUCGACUUUCCAUGAGUGAGUUUCGAAGAGCUUAAUGUUUAUGUGCAUUUUUGCAUUUCACUUUGUAACUUCAUGUUCAAGCAAAUGCAGCUCCAAUUACACGUCCAAUUCACUUACAUUUGAUCUCAGCAUGGAUUUCUCUUCACUUUUAGGCCUCACAUGCGCCUGUACAGGCCCAUGCAUGGAGGAUCCAAAAUUCAUGCACACGAGGGAAGGCAUUGCUUUGCAUCCAUUCCAGCUAUAAAUAGAAGCUCAUACUCAUUCAAAUGAUAACCACAAGGAGAUCUGAAAUGCUGCUGGAUUGAAAACUAAACCCUCACCAAAGGAAUUGUUUUUUCUAUUUCAUUUUCAAGCUUGAAUUUCAACAUCAUUAGUUGAAUUUCAAAGCAUAAUUCCUUAACCUUGCAUCACCAUCACACUUCCAGACCAAAAUUGGAUCAAGAGCUUGGACAAUUCGUGUUGUUUGAAGCUCCAUUUCAGAGGUAUAUCACCAAACUUUUCUGAUUCAGAUCUUGAAAUAUAAUGUGAAUUUCUUUGGUUUGUGUUGUUUUCUGAAGUCCUCAAGCAUGAGGCAGACCAGUGGUGGUCUUAAUUUUGCAAAUCGUGCCAUUUCAGAUCAAGCACCAUGAUCUUCAAGCUCAUGUUCCUCUUUAAACAGGAACUUUGAGAAUGAUCCAUGGUUAUAGGGGUGAUGUACAUCACCUCAGCUUCAUUUUGAUACCUUCCUUUUUCAUUUUUAUUAAUGUUUGAUUUCCUGCGCGUGGUGGCCGGAAUUGGUUGUCUGGCCGGAGAAGAUGGUGGUUUCCACCACCAUCCCCACGUGGGAGCUCCAGAGCCCUUGGAUCUUGAUAAAACGUUUUAAUCGUGGCCUUGUAUUAUGUUGACUUGUUUUAAAUCAAUGUGUAACGCGCUUGACCAAGGAGUAUCAUGUGACCGCGCCUCUGGGCCUUAGGAUCACUGCGCAUUUCUGUUAUUUUCUUAUUUUUGUUUUAAUUUCAUUUAAUUCCUUUUAUUUUCAAAAAUUCAUAAAUAUUUUAUUUGAAGUCACAAAAAUAUGAGACCAAUGCCAAAAAAAAUCUUGAAAAAUCUAGUUGCAUAUUUGAUUUUAAUUAAUUUGUGACGAUUUAAUAUUUUUUUGUGAAAUUAGUUUGGUUUUAAAAGUUUUAAUUCAUUUUAAUUACUUUUUUGAUAUUUGAAAAAUCCAAAAAUAUUUUCUUAACACAUAUAGAGUCAUGAUAAGUCAAUGAAAAAUAGUCUCAUCAAUUUCUUAAUUGAUUUGAGAUUUAUUUGAAAUUUUAAUUCAUUUGUGUAUUUUUCAUUGUUUUUAAAUUGUUUUAAAAUAGUUUCUGAUUUCAAAAAAUUAUUGAAAUUUUUUGUCAAAGCUUGUUUGACCAUGUUAGACCUAUGAGAAUUUAAUUGACUUGUUCAAGUUGAUUUGAAUUAAAUUUGAGGUUUGACGCAUAUUUUGUCCAUUUUAUUUUUUGCAUUAUUUUUAAUUCAAAAUACCAAAAAUAUGUUUGACUUGUUGACUUAUGAUCUCUCAAUUCUCUUCUGUUUAGCAUUGGUUGAUGAUGAUUUGAUUCACUUUUGACCAAUUGUGUUUUGAUAUUUGAUUCUCUUUUCAUUCAUUUCAUCUUCAUCUCUUUCUUUUUUUAUUUUGGCCAAUGAGUUAAUGUCUUAUGGUUGGUCUUGACAAAUGAGAGGUUUAACCUUCUUUGAUCCAAAUCAAACUCAAAUUUGAUCCAAGAUCAAGUGAGUUGCAUUGUGUCCAAGAUAGGUUGCUUCUUGGUCAAGCAAAAAACCUAAAGUCCAUACAAGGCCUUUCUCUUUUCUUUUGGCAUGGCAAGUCGUAGGAGCUUGGCUUACUAGUCAUGAUCUCAAACUUGUGUUUAUUUUCCCAUAGUUUUAUGGACCGGCCUCAGAUAGGUGUGACUACUUCAUUAGUCCACUUACGAUUGCUUAACAUAGCGCUAAAUUGUCUUAUGACAAACUAACAUAACCAUACUAAUUACUAACUUUAAUUUGAGCAUUUAAUUUCUUGCAAUUUACUUUAAUGAAAUUUACUUCUUGCUCAUUUAUUCAUAUUGCUUUUCAUUUUGCUUACUUGAGCACAUAUUUUAUGUUUAUUCAAUUUUCCUUUUGCUCAUUUGAGCUCAUUAUUGUAUAUAAAUAUAUUGUUGUCUUGUGAUUGUUUUGUCUUUGUUUUGUGUGAACCUAAUGCAAAAGGAGAAAGGACUUAGAAUUAGGACUUACCUAUGCUUAAAGAAGUUCAAGAGUAACUAGGCCUCAUGCCUUUAGAAUGCUAAACUUGUUGAAGAGCAACUAGGCUUCAUGCCUUUAGAAUGCUAAAUUUCAAAGUUGACUUCAAAGGACUUCCUUUCCAAAACUCAUUCUUUGUCCAUUCCUCUUAUUGUGUUGUGAACUUUUUGAUGUUUGUUCUUGUGUGAUAGGGAUUCCAUCUUGAGAUAGUAAGAAGGACCAUUGUCAUGAAUAGCCAAGUUAAGAGAGACAAGCCAAAUGGAGAUCCUAGGAGCUUGAAUCCAAAUAUUGUGUGAUUGCUUAUUGUUUGCUAAGUCCAAAGGAAAUAAGCAUCUUGAAUUAUCUUUAUGAUCUCAAGAAAAGGAACUCUAAGGGUUUUAUCUCUUUCUCUUAUCUUUGUAUGCUUUAAGGACUAGCCCUUCUCUUCUUCUCCUCACUCUAACCCAAGCCAAACUUUUUUGUGCAAACUUUGACUUUGUUUCAAAUUAGAAACCUAUGCCUUAUGCCUUUGACUUUUCAAAAUCUUUUCAUUAAUACUCAUUGUGAAUAAAUCUUAAUUCAACUUUGACCUCAUUUUGUAAAUAAAUCUAACUUGUAAAUACAACUCACUUCAAGUUGAUUUUGUGGUUCCAAUGGCCACCUUUGUUAAACCUUUUUUAUAAACAUUAGUCAUAGGUUUGAGUUAUCAUAGUGGUUGAUGUAAACCUCACCUUAUCCUUAGUGAUUGGAUUAUAAGUCUCUCAUACUUAUUAUAGGGUUAAUCCCUCACUAGUAUGUUGAAGCUCUCCUCACAUGGUGGAUUGAUGGUUUAGGUUGAGUUUUCUCCCUUUGAUAACAAAAGACCUUAAGGCUUUUGACAAAUCAAUUCAUCAAUCUUUGAGAUUUUUACCCCGAACUACGAGGUUUUGAUCCUACCUUUGUGAUGGUACGUAGGCAAUGGGUUCAUCCAUUCAAACAACAAAUUUGUAAAUAUAAUAUAUUCUUCUCUCAUCCCCCCAAUCUUUUGCACAUAUUUUCAUAAAUACCAACCUACAACACAUAUUUGCAAAAAGAGGUUCCCUUAGAGUACUAAGGAUGUUUUGGGUGCGUAAAACCUUCCCAUUUCAUAACCAACCAAUCUUUUGCACAUAUUUUCAUAAAUACCAACCUACAACACAUAUUUGCAAAAAGAGGUUCCCUUAGAGUACUAAGGAUGUUUUGGGUGCGUAAAACCUUCCCAUUUCAUAACCAACCCCCUUACUUGAGAUAUUCUUCUCUCUGAUAUUUUUAUUAGUUUUUGAUUUGAUAAAACUUCUUACUUGGCUUUUGUUCGCUUUUUAGCCUUUCCUUUGGACAAAUAAAAGUGCGGUGACGACUCGAAUUAUAUGUUUACUUUUGGUUUAGUCAAUAAGCCUAAAGGUAACGAAUACCCCGCUACAGAAAAGUGGUGACUCUGCUGGGGAAAUCUAUGUUCCUAGUGGGUUCAGCCUACUUUUUGCUUGUAUGUGUUGUAUGUUUAUAUUUAUUUAUGUCAUAUUUUUGUGCAAAUUUGGGAUGACUGUAUUAAUUGUAAUGUAUGAAUUGUUUGAUAUACUAAUUGCUUGUGUGCUUGGUGGUCUCUUGUGAGAUGAGUUCUAUACCCGAACUCGAGUGCACUUAUGAUAGGAGAAUGGCAUAGUCUUGUUGACUUGUGUUAUUCCUUAGCAAGUUUGAGUUGCAAAGCUAUUCACUUGGUGAGGUCUUGUUGGAUCAAUAAUGUCACACGAGUAUCAUGGUUAGGCAUUACUCUUUCCAAUAUAAAUAGAAGCCAAGGACCUUAGAUACCUAGCCCAUCUUGGCCUAUUUUAGGACGUAGUGCGAAGGUCGUUCAAGUGUAAGAUUUGAUACGAUUGUUACGUGAUACUACACUCAUAAGAGUCUCUCUUGAGCAUAUUUUUGGAAUACGAGUAGUCGUUUUAUCCGAUAAUAUCUGAAAGAUGAGAUGAUGACUAUGGGGACCCUUUUUAGGACAUGAUUGUCAGGUUUAACCAUAGUACACUCCCUUUGGGUGGUUCUUAACCGAGACUCCAUGCUCGUGACUUACAAUAAACCCUUGAUUUGCGGUUGAUCCGUUCUCAUAUAUCCUCAAUAUCAAUGGAACUUGGGUGUUGAUAAGGUGUAAACCAUAAUCCACCAAAAUGGAUGAUUGAUAUUGACGAUAACGUGAGCCAUCCCGUGACCUUUGUGUGGUGUGACUCGCUUGAUCCUUGAGUGUGAUUGUUGCAUCCAUGCAUUCAUGCAUUCAUGCAUUCAUUUGCAUCCAUAUCAUCAACAAUAAAGAAUUUCAAGGAACUUAAGAGGUCUAUUUGCAAAAUUUCAGACAUGAAUAAGCAAAGAAGGAAUACAAAGAAGUACAGUUUCAGACAACCCGACUUGAAAGAAUUAAGGAGUUUGACAUCUUAUGUAUUAGAGCCCUUGGAGUUCAAAGCUCGCCAUGGAAAGCUCCUGUCUAUUCUUUCUACCAAGGUGGAUGAAGGUUUGAUGAGUGUGUUGGUGCAGUUCUAUGAUCCUUUGUAUCGAUGCUUUACUUUUCCGAAUUUCCAGCUUUUUCCUAUCAUGGGGGUAUAUCUAUCUUGGAUCAGUUGUCGUUCAGUGGUUUGGAGAGGAUUCCUUCUUCCCAAGAGAUUGCUAAUAUGCUUCACAUAGAUGUAUCUGAUAUUGUUGCUCAUAUGACUACCAAAGGUGGAAUUCAAGGUCUCCCAUAUGAUUUUCUCAUUGCCCAAGUUACUUUGUUUGGGAAGGCCAUGAGUGAGGACGCCUUUGAAGCCGUAUUUGUGCUUCUCAUCUAUGGGCUAGUGUUAUUUACCAACAUCGACAAUUUUGUGGAUGUGAACGCUAUUAGGAUUUUCUCUUCUCUUAAUCCCGUUUCGACUCUGUUGGGUGACACUUAUUUCUCUUUGCAUAUGAGGAAUGCAAAGGGUGGUGGUUCCAUUGUGUGUUGUUUGUCUUUGUUGUAAAAGUGUUUUAUUUCGCACUUGCCUCAGACGCUCGCCUUCAAGGAGAACAAGGGAUGUCUACGGUGGUCUGUGAGACUCAUGUCUCUUACUAAUGAUGAUAUCUCUUGGUAUAACCGUGUUUAUGAUGGGCGUUCAGAUUAUUGACUCUUGUGGUGAGUUCUCCAAUGUGCCUCUUCUCGGUACAUGUGGUGGAAUUAACUACAACCCUGUUUUGGCUCGCCGUCAGCUUGGGUUCCCCUUAAAAGAUAAACCUAACAAUAUUUUGUUAGAAGGUGUGUUCUUUCAAGAGAGUAAAGAUCCCCAGAAAUUGAAGGGCAGGAUGGUCCGCGCCUGGCGCAAAGUUCAUAGGAAGGGAAGGAAGGAGCUAGGGCCGAAGAAUUGUAUUGCUUUGGAACCCUACACCGCUUGGGUGAGGAAGAGAGCUCUUAAGUACUGUAUCUCGUAUGAUUAUCCAAGACCUACCCCUAUGGUUAUGGUUGGGCCUUCAACCCUCCCUAACCAAGGAGUAGAGGAGUUGAGAGAUGAAGACCGAUCGCGUGCUUGGGUUCGUGAGCGAGAGGAACAACUUCAGCAGCUCAGAGAUAAGGAUGCAAUGAUAGAAUUUCUAGAGCAUCAGGUUAUUGAUGAGCCUGAUGAUGUGGUUACUUCUCUUCUUCCUUACUCAUCCAGGUUUUGGAGGAGGAAGUAUGAUCAGCUCGCCUAGGAGAAGGCUGAUAUGGAAGCAGCUUAUGAGAGAGAGGUGAAGAGGCUUCAUUCAGCUUAUCUUCCGAUUUCGAGGGCUUUGGACGAUUGUUUUUAGGGCUUCAUAGGAUGUUUAUUCUCCUUUUCUCUUGUAUUGUAUUUGGUUACCAAAACUGUACUACUUCUUUGGUGUAAAAAGUUUCCAAAUAUUAUUGCUAUGAGCAUUCCAUAUAUGUCUUAAAAUAUUAAUAUUUUCAAGUAUUUGUAAAUAGACCUCUAUAAAUUUCCUCAAAUAAAAACAAAUCAUACGCACAAACAUUGCAUGCAUCAUAUGCAUAAGAAGGUUUUGUUCUGAGCUCUUGAUUAGUGGUCUAACUCUUUGCUCUUCAUUUAUUUUGAAGACAAGUUGACGCACCGGUAUAAUACCAGAGCCAAUCAUCCAAGGAUAAUGGAGCAUUUAGAGCAAGAGAACCGGGAAUUGAAAGAAGAGAUUGCUAGGCUGACUGCCAUGAUGGAGUCAGUUUUGGCCGCCCAAAGCCAAGCUUCGCCGACUCCUGCAACUCCUCCCGCGAGGACUGUUAUAUCAGAGAUAGCUGCGUCAGCUGUGCCUGCUGCAACAGCCCACUUUGCGCCAUCUAUGUCAGCCGGGUUCCCUUGGGGAAUGCUUGCUAACUUUGUGCCAGAAGGUUUUGCUCCUACUCUCGCUUCUCUACCGGCAUCUAGCCCAGUCUUAUCUGUGUCACCUCUCAUUAUGCAUACCCUACCCCGUGUUGAAGACACCAUCUAUCAUUCUGAGCCAUCUGAGGGCCCGGAUGUUUAUGAGAAGAUGGAUGAAAUGAAAGACUAAUUCAUUGAGCUGCGCAAGGAACUGAAGACUCUAAGGGGGAAGUACCUCUUUGGUAAAAGUGCUGCUGAGUUGUGCCUAGUGCCCAACGUGAAGAUCCCUGUUAAAUUCAAAGUGCAUGACUUUGAGAAGUACAAGGGAAACACAUGCCCGCUCAGCCAUCUUGUGAUGUAUGCUCACAAGAUGUCAACACAGACUGAUAACGACCAACUGCUUAUCCAUUACUUCCAGGAUAACCCAUUAGGUGCUGCGCUUCGGUGGUAUAUGGGGCUGGAGAGUGUUAGCAUCCGCUCUUUCAACGAUUUAGGAGAGGCCUUCAUCAAGCAGUAUAAAUAUAAUGUGGAUAUGGCUCCGGAUAGGGAAUAGUUGAGGGAAAUGUCGCAGAAGGACAAAGAGACCCUCAAAGAGUACGCCUAGAGAUGGCGAGAGCUGGCAGCUCAGAUAGUGCCACCCCUAGAAGAGAAAGAGAUGACAAAAAUAUUUUUGAAGACUUUGAGCUCUUUCUAUUAUUAAAGAAUGAUAACCAGUGCUCCCUCAGACUUCACCGAAAUGGUGAACAUGGGGAUGAGAUUGGAAGAGGGGGUCCGUGAAGGACGUUUGUCUAGGGAUGAUGGUUCCUCAGCAAAGAGGUAUGGGGGCUUUGCUAAGAAGAAGGAAGGAGAGAUACAUGUUGUGUCCUCCCAUAUUAAAAGAAGGCCCUCUAUGAGGAGGAAGGACGUGCGCCCUGCCGUCAACCAACACCAGGUGGCUCACAUAGCACCUGCUUUUCGAGAAGUUCAUCAUCAACAACAACAACAACAUCGUCAACAACAACAAGCCUACCAGCCUCGAAACAAUAAUAACACCAGCACCAGCAACUACGAGAGGAAGAGGGUAACUUUUGACCCGAUUCCGAUGACUUAUGCUGAACUGUAUCCUUCCUUAAUUGAUAGGAAGUUGAUAACUCUGCGAGAUUGUUCUGCUGUACCGACCAACCCUCAGUGGUGGUAUAAGCCCGAGCUUCACUGUGUAUAUCAUUCCAGUGCUCCCGGACAUGACGUGGAAAACCGUUACCCAUUGAAGACCAAGAUGCAAGACCUUGUGAGAAGUGGUAUUUUGUUUUUUGAGGAUGUAGGUCCUAAUGUUAAGAAGAACCCAUUGCUCGAGCAUGGGAAAGUUGUUGUUAACAUGGUCCAGGGGUGCCUUGGCAAAUAUAAAGUCCUGUAUGUUAAUGACAUAAGGCAAUCUUUGGUCGAGAUGCACAAGCUGUUGUGUGAACACAACCACUACGAGCAUGACCAUGAUAGGUGCCAGGUGUGCACUAUCAAUGAAAGAGGAUACCGACAAGUAAGAAAGGACAUCCAAGAGAUACUUGAUCAGGGAAUGAUUGAAAUACUUCAGAAUCGCAAUGAGGACGAAGUUGAUGUUAUCUCCCCUGUAUUUAGAAUCCCUGAGCCUGUUGUUGUCGAGUAUGAUGGCAGCAAGAAGAAGGUAUCACCAGCUCUUGUGAUCAAGCCAGCAGGUCAUGUCCCGUAUGUAUCGGACAAGACUGUUCCCUAAAGAUAUAACGCAACCAUGCUAGAAGAUGGGAAGGAGGUGUCGUUGCCCUCAACCUCUGUUGUAAGCAUUUCUGAUGUCAGUGGUGUGACCCGUAGUGGUCGUGUUUUCUCGGCCCCGCCGAAACCCCAUGAAGAUGUCAUGAGGAGAACUGUUGUUAAUCAUGCCGGUCCCGUGGGGACUUCUUCUGCAAAAAAAAUUGUUCCUGCUGUUGACCCUGUUGCUGUUAAAUCCAAUAACACUCAUAUCCUAGUUGGCCAGUCUGGCAUUUUGAAAGAGGAUGGUGAUUAGAUGCUAAGGCUCAUCAAAAGGAGUGAAUACAAUGUUGUUGAUCAGCUGCUACAAACUCCAUCAAAGAUAUCUGUAUUAUCUUUGUUGAUGAAUUCUGAGCCACACCGCGAAGCUUUGCAGAGGGUGUUAGACGUGGCAUACGUGGAUCACGAUGUCACUAUUGAGCAGUUUGAUAGCAUUGUCGCAAAUAUAACCGCUUGCAACAACUUGAGUUUCUGUGAUGCUGAUCUUCUCGAGGAGGGAAAAGACCACAAUUUGGCCUUACACAUUUCAAUGAACUGUAAGGAUGAUGCCUUGUCCAAUGUGUUGGUGGACACAGGAUCAUUACUUAAUGUGUUGCCAAAAUCCACUCUUGCUAAACUUUCUUACCAGGGGCCUCCGAUGAGGCAUAGUGGAGUGGUUGUGAAGGCGUUUGAUGGAUCGCAUAAAACCGUGAUCGGUGAAUUAGAACUCCCGAUCAAGAUUGGACCUAGUGAUUUCCAUAUCACUUUCCAGGUCAUGGAUAUUCAUCCAUCUUACAGCUGUUUGCUUGGCAGACCAUGGAUCCACGAGGCAGGCGUCGUGACAUCCACCCUACACCAAAAGUUGAAGUUUGUGAAAAACAAGAAGUUGGUGGUGAUAAGGGGAGAGAAGGCUCUCUUGGUCAGUCAUUUAUAUUCCUUUUCCUAUAUUGACGCUGAGGAUGAGGUUGGGACUCCGUUCCAAGCCUUGUCUAUUGUGGAGCCUUCAAGGAAAUGACUUUCUUCAUUUGUCUCCUAUAACAACGCGAAGUUGGCCAUUGAGCAUGGUGCAAAUACUGGUUUAGGGCAAAUGAUCAAGUUGGAGGAUAACAAAUCCCGAUAUGGCAUAGGGUAUUCUUCUGGUAUUUCCAAUGAGUGUGGGUUAUUCCAGAGUGGAGGUUUUAUCCACACAGUUGAAGAUCAGGAAGCUGAUGUCAUUGUUGAAGAUGAUGAAGAGGAAGAUCUUGGAAACUUUGUCAUACCUGGCGGAAUCUGCAAUAAUUGGGUCGCUGUUGAUGUUCCAACAGUUAUCCAUAAGUCAACGUAAUGUGUUCAUUUUGUUUGAAAACCCUUCUCCCAUGCCAAAAGGAGAAGUGAAAAGUCAACGUAAUGUGUUCAUUUUGUUUGAAAACCCUUCUCCCAUGCCAAAAGGAGAAGUGAUGACAUUGUUGGCAUAAUUUGAUUAAUACAAUGAUAUUCAUUCAAUAAUCACAUGUUAAAUGUUUAUUUUUCCAAAUUAUUUUUCCUUUUUGCUUUUUGCAUGAAAUUGGUGAUCACCAUAAAACCCUAAAAAGAGAAUAAAAUUAAUCUUUUCAUCUGCAUAAUGAUUUGCCUUGCUUGAAUUAUGAAAUCUCUUUUAUACUCAAAAUCAUUAUGCAGGUUAAUCAAAACAAUUGAACAUAAUGAUCCAACACCAUCUCCCAACUUUGAGUUCCUUGUAUUUGAGGCAGAAGAAGAUGAUGUUGAAGAGAUUGCUGAUGAAAUUACCCGUCUGCUUGAGCACGAGGAGAAGAUCAUUCAGCCGCAUCUUGAGAAUCUGGAAACAAUCAACUUGGGGUCUGAAGACUGUGUUCGUGAAGUAAAUAUUGGGGCACUCCUUGAAGAGUCUAUGAAGAAGGGGUUGAUCGAGUUGCUAUGAGAAUAUGUCGACGUCUUUGCCUGGUCGUAUGAAGACAUGCCUAGUCUAGAUACUGAUAUUGUGCAACAUUUCCUACCAUUGAAGCCUGAGUGUGUGCCUAUAAAGCAGAAGCUCAGAAGAACUCAUCCAGAUAUAGCAGUGAAGAUUAAAGAAGAAGUUCAGAAGCAAAUUGAUAAGGGGUUUCUGGUAACUUCUACAUAUCCUCUAUGGGUGGCCAAUAUUGUGCUUGUGCCUAAGAAAGAUGGAAAAGUCCAAAUGUGUGUGGAUUACCGUGACUUGAAUAAACUAGUCCGAAAGAUGAUUUUCCUCUACCACACAUUGAUAUGUUGGUAGACAAUACAGCUAAAUUCAAUGUCUUCUCAUUUAUGGAUGGAUUUUCCGGUUACAACCAGAUUAAAAUGGCACCCGAGGAUAUGGAGAAGACAACAUUCAUCACACCUUGGGGAACAUUCUGUUAUCGAGUGAUGCCCUUUGGUUUGAAGAACGCCGGAGCCACGUAUCAAUGCGCUAUGACUACCUUGUUUCAUGAUAUGAUGCAUAAGGAGAUUGAGGUGUAUGUUGAUGAUAUGAUUGCAAAUUCGAAAACGGAAGUUGAACAUGUAGAACACUUGUUGAAGCUUUUCCAGCGUUUGAGGAAGUACAAACUCCACCUGAAUCCGAACAAGUGUACAUGUGGAGUCCGUUCCGGAAAGUUAUUGGGCUUUAUUGUCAGUGAAAGAGGUAUUGAAGUUGAUCAUGCCAAGGUCAAAGCAAUACAAGAGUUGCCUGCGCCCAAAACUGAGAAGCAAGUCCGAGGUUUUCUUGGCCGCUUGAAUUACAUUUCGAGAUUUAUAUCCCACAUGACUGCCACAUGUGCGCCUAUAUUCAAGCUCCUCCAGAAAGAUCAGCGUCAUAAAGCAAGUCCGAGGUUUUCUUGGCCGCUUGAAUUACAUUUCGAGAUUUAUAUCCCACAUGACUGCCACAUGUGCGCCUAUAUUCAAGCUCCUCCAGAAAGAUCAGCGUCAUGAUUGGACCGAGGAUUUCCAGAAGGCCUUUGAUAGUAUCAAAGAGUGUUUGUCUGAGCCUCCGAUUUUGUCUCCGCCUGUUGAAGGGAGACCCUUGAUUAUGUACUUGACUGUGCUUGAUGAUUCCACGGGUUGUGUAUUGGGUCAGCAAGAUGAAUCAGGAAAGAAAGAGUAUGCAAUAUACUACUUGAGCAAGAAGUUCACUGAUUUUGAGUCUCGGUACUCAAUGCUUGAGAAGACAUGAUGUGCUUUGGCUUGGGCUGCUAAGCGCUUACACCAGUAUAUGCUGAAUCAUACGACUUGGUUGAUAUCCAAAAUGGAUCCAAUCAAGUAUAUCUUGUAGAAGCCUGCUUUAAUUGGGAGGAUUUCCCAUUGGCAGAUGUUGUUAUCUGAGUAUGAUAUUGAGUAUCGAGCUCAGAAAGCUAUUAAAGGUAGUAUCUUGGCUGACCACUUGGCACAUCAACCAAUUGAAGAUUAUCAGUCUAUUCAGUAUAACUUCCCUAAUAAUGAGAUUAUGUAUUUGAAGAUGAAAGAUUGUGAUGAGCCUACGCUUGAUGAAGGGACAAAGCCUGGUUCCCGAUGGGGCAUGGUGUUCGAUGGUGUUGUUAAUCAAUAUGGAAAUGGUAUUGGGGCAGUGAUUAUUACUCCUCAAGGCACACAUUUUCCUUUUACUGCAAGGCUAACUUUCAAAUACACGAAUAAUAUGGCGGAAUAUGAGGCCUAUAUUAUGGGUUUGGAAGAGUGUAUUGAUCUUAGGAUCAAACAUCUUGAUGUUUAUGGUGAUUCGGCCCUUGUUGUUAAUCAGAUUAAGGGUGAAUGGGAAACGAAUCAGCCUGGCCUCAUCCCAUACAUAUUAUGGGUUUGGAAGAGUGUAUUGAUCUUAGGAUCAAACAUCUUGAUGUUUAUGGUGAUUCGGCCCUUGUUGUUAAUCAGAUUAAGGGUGAAUGGGAAACGAAUCAGCCUGGCCUCAUCCCAUACAGAGAUUAUACGAGGAGGAUUUCAACUUUCUUUACUGAGGUUGACUUCCAUCAUAUUCCUCGAGAUGAGAAUCGGAUGGCAGAUGCUUUUGCUACGCUUGCUUCAAUGAUUGUGGUGAAAUAUUGGAAUGAAGUCCCUAAUAUUACUGUGAUGCGCUUGGAUAGACCAGCUCAUAUGUUUGUAGUUGAGGAAGUGAAAGAUGAUAAGCCAUGGUAUUAUGAUAUCAAGUGCUUUCUCCAAAGUCAGACUUACCCGCCUGAGGCAUCUGUUAAAGAUAAGAAGAUUUUGAGGAGAUUAUCUGGCAGUUUCUACCUUAAUGGUGAUGUGCUUUAUAAGAGGAAUUUUGACAUGGUUCUGCUCAGAUGCGUGGAUAGACACGAAGCAAACCUGUUGAUGACUGAAGUCCAUGAGGGUUCAUUUGGUACUCAUUCCAAUGGACAUGAGGAUAGACACGAAGCAAACCUGUUGAUGACUGAAGUCCAUGAGGGUUCAUUUGGUACUCAUUCCAAUGGACAUGCCAUGGCAAAGAAGAUGUUGAGAGCAGGCUACUAUUGGCUGACAAUGGAGUCUAACUGCUACAAAUAUGUGAAGAAAUGCCACAAGUGUCAAAUUUAUGCGGAUAAGAUUCAUAUUCCCCCGACACUUCUGAAUGUUAUUUCCUCACCAUGGCCUUUCUCCAUGUGGGAAAUUGACAUGAUUAGCAUGAUUGAGCCAAAGGCGUUGAACGGUCACCGUUUUAUUCUCGUAGCUAUUGAUUACUUCACCAAGUGGGUUGAAGCGGCAUCGUAUGCAAAUGUGACCAGGCAGGUGGUUGUGAAGUUUAUGAAGAACCAGCUAAUAUGCCGAUAUGGUGUGCCAGACAAGAUCAUUACUGAUAAUAGAUCUAGCUUGAACAACAAGAUGAUGAAAGAGCUGUGUAGCGAGUUCAAGAUUGCACAUCAUAAUUCUUCUCCCUACAGACCCAAGAUGAAUGGGGAUGUUGAAGCUGCUAACAAGAACAUCAAGAAGAUUAUUCAUAAGAUGGUUGUUACGUACAAAGAUUGGCAUGAGAUGCUGCUAUUCGGCUUGCAUGGUUAUCAUACAUUUGUUCGCACUUCAACAGGGGCAACCCAUUUUUCUCUUGUGUAUGGCAUGGAGGCUAUGCUCCCCGUGGAGGUUGAGAUCCCAUCAAUGAGAGUCUUGAUGGAAGCCAAGUUGACUGAGGCUGAAUGGGUUCAGAGUCGUUAUGACCAACUGAAUUUAAUUGAAGAGAAGAGAUUAAUUGCCAUGUGUCAUGGUCAGUUGUAUCAGCAAAGGAUGAAGAAAGCCUUUGAUAAGAAGGUCAAGCCUCGUGUGUUCAAAGAAUGUGACCUCGUGCUCAAGAAAGUCUUGUCUUUCGUGCCCGAUUCCAGGGGCAAGUGGACUCCAAACUAUAAAGGUCCAUAUGUUGUUAAGAGAGCCUUUUCAGGCGGUGUUUUGUUGCUUACAACUAUGGAUGGGGAGGAUUCCACUCGUCCUGUGAAUUCAGAUGCAGUCAAGAAAUACUUUGCCUAAAAAUAAAAUAAAAAACAGAAUAGCUCGCUAAGUUGAAAACCCGAAAGGACGGCUUAGGCAAAAAUGAGUGUCUCGGUGGAUUGAAAACCCGAAAGGGCGGUCCAGGAAAAAGUUAGAGACAUGAAAAAAUAAAAUUAUAUAUAUAAUAUAUAUAUAUAUAUCCCGCUAGAUUGAGUACCUCACCCUGGGGCAAUCUAGGCAAAAAUUAGGGAUUUGGCAAGUAAUUGCAUCCUGACAAGACUUUGUUCUUCAACUGUCAUCUAUCAAAGAUUCUCGCUCAGUUGUCAUCAACUGAAGCUUCAAAUACAUUGGAUUCAGAGUUGGUGGAGAAAUGGUCAUUAUGUUCAAUGUAGCCCUUUUUUCCCAAUAUAUAUCACCAUUUUCAAAUUUGUAAAGAUCCAUGGAGUCUCGCCAUUUGUGGGCUACCAUUCUAUUAAAUAAAUUCGAGCCUUUAUCCAAUUCUUUGCACUCUUAUUUUGUUUCUUUGUGACAAAUGUUUGCAUGUUUUAAUUGAUAAAUAUCAUUGUUUUAAACGAAUAAAGUUUUUAUAAAACUGUUUUAAACAAAGUGAACAUUCACGAUGACUAAAAGGAUAGUUGGAAUGUCUUCAGUGCUCUCCCAAGGAUAGUACGAUUUCCAAAAGGGUAGGACAUUUGUUCAUUUUCUGGCAUUCUUAUAUCCUCUCCAUCAGCUUUCAAGUUGUCUCCUCAGCGAGCGCAGAAGAGUGAUACAUCGUCAGCCUCCCAAAGAAUUUGACGCUAGCAUUUGUGUUUUAUCAAUUAUAUGGUUGUCAUCCCUUGUGGGGACUGACCUAAAAUCCCUUAUAGAUUGAUAAAAGUUAGUUUGCUAUCUAUUCAUGAGGAAGUUUGUCUUUCCCCAGUAUGAGUAGAAGUCCUCUGCGGAGUAAGCAUGUGUUCCCUGCAUAGCUGCCUUUCCAGAUAAGUUGUUUCCUCAACAGGAAGUUUGUCCAGGGAAGUUGGUGAAGGGCUUGAGUCCCUUUUCAUCCCCAGCAUGGCACUUGUUGACCAAGGAUUCGUUUACGUUUCCCUCAGUCAGGACAGUUCCUUCGGGAGUACUAGCAAUUUAUCCCCAGUAUGGUCGCCUACAGUCCAUCCCCAGUAGGAUUGCCCAAUCCGAGCUUGAUAAUUUAUAUCCCCUCCCUGGUUGAAAAUAUCUUCCAAUAUUGGACGGUGAUGAGGAAGAUGUGUUAUUUCCUUCCUAGCGGAGCAAUUGUUCUUCCUCCCCUUAGCAGAGAUGUCUCUCCAGCAGUUAGAAGGGAGUGCUUGAUUGAUGUGUAUAUAUUUGGUGGGUGUUCCCCACAGAAUUUCACAUCAUCCCUUGUUAAGAUCCCCAGUAGAGUUUCUUCUACGAUAGAUCUUAUUGGUAUCCAGCCACCUGUUCCCGAGAAAUGAUGAAGGAUCCCCGGCAGUUGGUAGCUGUGACCUUUGCCUAUCCCCAGCGGUGAUCUAUGUCUCCUGGUAUUAGAUCCACCCCACCAGAGAUGAGUUCUCUUGUGGGGCCUGGCCUUUCUCUUUUUGAAGAUGUUAUACCGGAUGUCCGUUCGUGGCUUUGGAGCCUGUUUGUGUUAGAUAUGUCUGUUUGUCAGCAUUAAUCAUACAUAAACCAUGCAUAUACAUGCAUAAUCAUAACAUUCAGACAUUCAUGAUGCAUUCUUUGCCAUAUAUCUUUGCUUGGUAUCUCCUGCUAUUGGUGAAAUAUUCUUCCCCAAGCAGAUGUUUGUGUCUGAUCUCUCCAUAUCGAGUCAGCCUCAUAGGCAGAAAGUGUCUAUCUUUCCUUCUUUAUUCCCCACUGAGUUAGGUCCUCGUGGAUGAUUUUUGUUUCAGUUUUUGCCCCAGUUAUAUAUCGGGAUGGAAUUACUCCCCUGAGUUAUAUCCUCAUCGGGUUGAGUCUUGUUUGAUUGUGUCUUUCUAGUUUGUUCCUGGAUUGACUUUCUUUCUUGUUAUCCCCUGCGGUUCCCUGUGGUUUAGUUGUUCAAUUGCUCAGUAACCAGUAAUUGUUCAUCAUUUUCCCUAGCGAACUAUGUAGCCUUCUACCCAAUAACUAGUAGUUGUAAGUCCUUUUUCUGUGGUUUUCUACCCAGUAACCGGUAGAUGUAAUCCCCUCUUUGUUGGUUAUCUUUACCCAGUAACCGGUAUUGAUUCUCCUUCAUUUUUGAGUAUACCACCCAGUAGCCGGUGAUAUAUCUCUUGGAUAAUUGCUUUUGUCAAGCAAUUUAUCCCCGCCGAGUCAUCUUUCAUUUUACCCUUGUUUGGUAAUGAUUAUUUCUCCUUCUGAUUGGUCAUCAUUUUAUACCCAAUAAUCGGUAUCCCGAUGUCCUUUCUUUUCGGUCGAUUUAUCCUUAUUAACCCAGUAACCGGUUAUGGAUAAUAUUCCAUGCGAGUAUGUUAUCUACGUUUUGACGGUAAUAGAUAAUAUAUCUCAUGCGCACUUCAGUCGAAGUCUUUUUCUUCCCCAGUUGAGUAAGAUUCGUAUUUCCCUGUGGAAUCGAAUGCCCAUCCUGUAAGUUGAGUUUGCUUUUUCAGCCCUCCUUUAGGAUGAUGAGUGUCUUGGAUAUAUUCCCAAUUCACGCCUGGUUGGUCACCUAUUAUAUGCCCAGUAACCGGUAUCCCUGGUGUUCCUUCCUUCUGAUCCCUAUUAUGACCUUUUGUUCCCUUUGGAGUCAGAUUUCUUGAGUUGAGAUGUGCCUUUUGGUCCUCCUCAGACGUUUCGGAUGAUUGAUAUCUCUCACCCUUAUACCGGUCUUAGAUUUUCUUUCUCCUUGAGCAUGUUGUUCUCUCACCCAGUAACCGGUGGUUUGACGAUAUGUCUCCCUUUUGAGUUUAUUACCCGGUAGUCGGUAAUAUCUCGGUGUUUCUUCCUCAGUUGAGUCCUUUGUGGACAUCUCCGUCUGAGUCCGGAUUUUUAUCUGAAGUAUCCUUUGUGGAUAGUUUUAUUGUAUUGGCAUAUUCCCUAAUACAUGCAUCUUUGCGUCAGCUCGAGUCUUUCCAUUAAUUUAUUUUCGUGGAAUCCCUUCGUGUCUCCCAACAAGUAUUCAAGUCGUGACCUGAUCACGCGUUUUUACCUUAUUUACCCCAGAGUCUUUGUCUCCUUAGUGAGUGCAUACUCCUAUUGGAUUUUUCAGUUACUUCUGAUUUCUUUUCCUUCGUGGCAAUUAUUCACCCUGAAGAUUUUAUUACAUACAUUUGCAUCAUGAGGUCUCUUAGGGACCAAAAUUCGUCUCUUUGUUAUUAUUUAAGCCCAUUCUACCUCGUCGAGACGGAGAUUUUAACCUUCAUAUCUCCGGCUAGAAUGACCUUAAAUAGGGGCAUCUGUAAGACCCUAAUUUUGACCCUAAGAUCCCUCAUGGCAUCAUAUCAUUGCUCAUUAUAUUGCCUCAAGGAUCAUAGCAUGUGUGGCUCCUUAACCCUAGGGUUGGGACUUGUGUGAGUGGUUUGAGACCACCAAGCAUGCUUGUAUUGUAUAUUAUUUCUUUUCUUACUAACCAAGCACAAAAAUAUGUCACUCACUCUGUUUGUUUUGAAGCUCAAGUGAUCGUGUGCUCCCAUGCUCCUAGGAGGCUCAUAAACUCAAUGAAGUGGCUAGAUGAAGAUGAGGGCAAGCAUGACAAUGGUCCACAAAGCUCUUAAUCAUCAUAUAAGUCUCCCAAGUAUCUCAAUUUGCCAAUUUGAUCAAGAUAACCCAAAGGGCUUGAGGAUUGUUUCCCAAGGAAACCCUAACUCAACUGUGCUUUGACCGUGCCUUGCUCAUGAAGCAACCUAAACCCAUGAUCAAAUUCAAUCAAGGGAAGUUAUUUCAUUCAUUAUUUUAUGCACAUAUGAGCCUAUUUGAGGAUCCUCAAUCAUUCAUUCAUCAAGAUUUGAAGUUUGGUCUUCAGAAGUUGACCAGUCAAGUCAUCUGACUAAACUGAGGAUCACUGAGAUAUACCUUAUGAUUUGUUUGUCAAAUGAAGAUGACCCCGAGAGAAAAAAAUGUUAUUAAGAACCAUAUGAACAACUUUAAUGUUCAUCAAAAAUCCAUUUGAAACUUGGAAGGUCAUAAUACAUUUCAAAACAUUAUAGGUCAUUUUAACUGAAACCCUAAUUUUGGGUCAACUUCCCAAGGACCUAACUUCCUUAAUUUUUAUGAUUUUGAGGUGAGACCAAAUGAAUUGGAAAUAUUAAUAUGUCUACUUCAGAUGUUAUGUUGGACAAAAUUUCAUAAUCCUAAAAUAAAUACAUGUGAUAAUACAAAACAUUAUAGGUCACUUUGGACCUAAGCCAUUGAAUUUGAAAAAUGUCCAACUUCAAGUGCUCAUAACUUUCUCAUGAAAAAUCCAAAUGAUGCAAAAUGUAAGUCUAAAUUGAUCAUCUUGAAAAUAUUUGCAACUUUGAUGUUGGAGGAUUUUCCGUUUGGGACUUUCAUCAUUGAGACAGAAGGGACUGAAAAUGCUUGAUUUUGGUAAAAAAAAUUCAAAGGGAACCUAGACAUGUUUUGUACCCCAAACUUCACAGCCAGUUUUGAUAAAUUUCCAAACUCCAAAUGAAUUUUUUCCCAACAUGACUUUUGUUCCUCAUUUCAAGGGCUUUCCAACCGUUACUCACAUUAAUUUUUUGGACUUUCCAUGAGUAAGUUUCGAAGAGCUUAAUGUUUAUGUGCAUUUUUGCAUUUCACUUUGUAACUUUAUGUGCAAGCAAAUGCAGCUCCAAUUACACGUCCAAUUCACUUACUUUUGAUCUCAGUAUGGAUUUCCCUUCACUUUUAGGCCUCACAUGCGCCUGUACAGGCCCAUGCAUGGAGGAUCCAAAAUUCACGCACACGAGGGAAGGCAUUGCUUUGCAUCCAUUCCAGCUAUAAAUAGAAGCUCAUACACCUGUACAGGCCCAUGCAUGGAGGAUCCAAAAUUCACGCACACGAGGGAAGGCAUUGCUUUGCAUCCAUUCCAGCUAUAAAUAGAAGCUCAUACUCAUUCAAAUGAUAACCACAAGGAGAUCUGAAAUGCUGCUGGAUUGAAAACCAAACCCUCACCAAAGGAAUUUCAGUUUUUUCUAUUUCAUUUUCAAGCUUGAAUUUCAAUAUCAUUAGUUGAAUUUCAAAGCAUAAUUCAUUAACCUUGCAUCACCAUCACACUUCUAGAUCAAAAUUGGAUCAAGAGCUUGGACAAUUCGUGUUGUUUGAAGCUCCAUUUCAGAGGUAUAUCACCAAACUUUUUUGAUUCAGAUCUUGAAAUAUAAUGUGAAUUUCUUUGGUUUGUGUUAUUUUCUGAAGUCCUCAAGCAUGAGGCAGGCCAGUGGUGGUCUUAAUUUUGCAAAUCGUGUCAUUUCAGAUCAAGCACCAUGAUCUUCAAGCUCAUGUUCCUCUUUAAAUAGGAACUUUGAGAAUGAUCCAUGGUUACAGGGGUGAUGUACAUCACCUCAACUUCAUUUUGAUACCUUCCUUUUUCAUUUUUAUUAAGGUUUGAUUUCCUGUGCGUGGUGGCCGGAAUUGGUUGUCUGGCCGGAGAAGAUGGUGGUUUCCACCACCAUCCCCGCGUGGGAGCUCCAGAGCCCUUCGAUCUUGAUAAAAUGUUUUAAUCGUGGCCUUGUAUUAUGUUGACUUGUUUUAAAUCAAUGUGUAACGCGCUUGACCAAGGAGUAUCAUGUGACCGCGCCUCCGAGCCUUAGGAUCAUUGCCACGUCAAUUAAUGAAAUGAUCCAGUGGCUGCGCAUUUUUGUUAUUUUCUGAUUUUUGUUUUAAUUUCAUUUAAUUCCUUUUAUUUUCAAAAAUUCAUAAAUAAUUUAUUUGAAGUCACAAAAAUAUGAGACCAAUGCCAAAACUUUUCUUGAAAAAUCUAGUUUCAUAUUUUGAUUUUUAAUUAAUUUUAUGACUUGAUUUAAUAUUUUUUUGUGAAUUAUUUGGUUUUUAAUAGUUUUUAAUUCAUUUUAAUUACUUUUUUAUAUUUGAAAAAUCCAAAAAUAUUUUCUUAACACAUAUGGAUCAUGAUAAGUCAAUGAAAAAUAGUCUCAUCAAUUUCUUAAUUGAUUUGAGAUUUAUUUGAGAUUUUAAUUCAUUUGUGUUAUUUUUCAUUGUUUUUAAUUGUUUUAAAAUAGUUUCUGAUUUCAAAAAUUAUUGAAAAAUUUGUCAAAGCUUGUUAGACCUGUGAGAAUUUAGUUGGACUUGUUCAAGUUGAUUUGAAUUAAAUUUGAGUUUGACCAAUAUUUUGUCCAUUUUUUAUUUUUGCAUUUAUUUUUAAUUCAAAAAUACCAAAAAAAUAUGUUUGACUUGUUGACUUGUGAUCUUCAUUUCUCUUCUGUUUAGCAUUGGAUGAUGAUGAUUUGAUUCACUUUGACCAAUUGGUGUUUGAUAUUUGAUUUCUCUUUCAUUCAUUUCAUCUUCAUCUCUUUUCUUUUUUUAUUUUGGCCAAUGAGUUAAUGUCUUAUGGUUGGUCUUGACAAAUGAGAGGUUUAACCUUCUUUGAUCCAAAUCAAAACUCAAAUUUGAUCCAAGAUCAAGUGAGUUGCUUUGUGUCCAAGAUAGGUUGCUUCUUGGUCAAGCAAAAAACCUAAAGUCCAUACAAGGCCUUUCUCUUUUCUUUUGGCAUGGCAAGUUGUAGGAGCUUGGCUUAUUAGUCAUGACUCUAACUUGUGUUUAUUUGCCCAUAGUUUUAUUGACUGGCCUCAGAUAGGUGUGACUACUACAUUAGUCCACUUACGAUUGCUUAACAUAGCGCUAAAUUGUCUUAUGACAAACUAACAUAACCAUGCUAAUUACUAACUUUAAUUUGAGCAUUUAAUUUCUUGCAAUUUACUUUAAUGCAAUUUACUUCUUGCUCAUUUAUUCAUAUUGCUUUUCAUUUUGCUCACUUGAGCACAUAUUUUAUGUUUAUGCCAUUUUCCUUUUGCUCAUUGAGCUCAUUAUUGUAUAUAAAUAUAUUGUUGUCUUGUGAUUGUUUUUGUCUUUGUUUUGUGUGACUAAUGCAAAAGGAGAAGGACUUAGAAUUAGGACUUACCUAUGCUUAAAGGAGUUCAAGAGCAACUAGGCCUCAUGUCUUUAGAAUCUAAACUUGUUGAAGAGCAACUAGGCCUCAUGCCUUAGAAUGCUAAUUUCAAAGUUGACUUCAAAGGACUUCCUUUCCAAAACUCAUCUUUGUCCAUUCCUCUUAUUGUGUUGUGAACUUUUUGAUGUUUGUUCUUGUGUGAUAGGGAUUUCCAUCUUGAGAUAGUAAGAAGGACCAUUGUCAUGAAUAGCCAAGUUAAGAGAGACAAGCCAAAUGGAGAUCCUAGGAGCUUGAAUCCAAAUAUUGUGUGAUUGCUUAUUGUUUGCUAAGUCCAAAGGAAAGGAGGAUUUUGAAGCAGCUCUAUGAUCUCAAGAAAAGGAACUCCAAUGGUUUUAUCUCUUUCUCUUAUCUUUGUAUGCUUUAAGGACUAGCCCUUCUCUUCUUCUCCUCACUCUAACCCAAGCCAAACUCUUUUGUGCAAACUUUGACUUUGUUUCAAAUUAGAAACCUAGGCCUUAUGCCUUUGACUUUUCAAAAUCUUUUCAUUAAUACUCAUUGUGAAUAAAUCUUAAUUCAACUUUUACCUCAUUUUGUAAAUAAAUCUAACUUGUAAAUACAACUCAUUUCAAGUUGAUUUUGUGGUUCCAAUGGCCACCUUUGUUAAACCUUUUUUAUAAACAUUAGUCAUAGGUUUGAGUUAUCAUAGUGGUUGAUGUAAACCUCAUCUUAUCCUUAGUGAUUGGAUUAUAAGUCUCCCAUACUUAUUAUAGGGUUAAUCCCUCACUAGUAUGUUGAAGCUAUCCUCACAUGGUAGAUUGUUGGUUUAGGUUGAGUUUUCUCCCUUUGAUAACAAAAGACCUUAAGGCUUUUGACAAAUCAAUUCACCAAUCUUUGAGAUUUUUACCCCGAAUUACGAGGUUUUGAUCCUACCUUUGUGAUGGUACGUAGGCAAUGGGUUCAUCCGUUCAAACAACAAAUUUGUAAAUAUAAUAUAUUCUUCUCCCAUCCCCUCAAUCUUUUGCACAUAUUUUCACAAGUACCAACCUACAACACAUAUUUGCAAAAAGAGGUUCCCUUAGAGUACUAAGGAUGUUUUGGGUGCAUAAAACCUUCCCAUUUCAUAACCAACCCCCUUACCUAGAUCUCUGACAUUUUUAUUAGUUUUUUAUUUGAUAAAACUUCUUACUUGGCUUUUGUUCGCUUUUUAGCCUUUCCUUUGGACAAAUAAAAGUGUGGUGGCGACUCGAAUUGUAUGUUUACUUUUGGUUUAGUCAAUAAACCUAAAGGUAA